UAUUGCGCUCACACAUGUGUGUGUGUAUUUUCUGUUGAUUACCAAUGCCAACAUAGAAUUCUAUUUUGUAUCAUUAAGUUAAAACAAGUUUUAUUGGUUUGUUCAAUUUGCAUGUGGUGCUGUGGCUUUUUAAUUUUGAUAUAAUGCAACCAUAUGAUUCUAUGGUUUAGUGCUCAGUCUAUUAAAAAAUCACCAGCGUUAUAAAGCAAAUGACUGAACUAUUCUGGUGAAAAUAAUUGGAUGCAAUUGAAGAAAACGUAGAGCUAUUUGAUAACUCCACUUCAAGAAUAAAGAAUUAAUAGAUAUUGAACAUUAGAAGUUAGAGCUUUUUCCUGUUGGUCAAGUUUCAAUUUGAAAACUCCACUUCAAUGCAACAACCUCCCACUUUUGAAAUGAAACAGUAGUUAUGGAGCAGGAAAGGAAGACUGCUUAAUCUUGCAAGUGGCAUUGCAGAUUAGCUUGUUCCUGCGAAAGGGGAAAACAAAAAAAUGAAUCUUCAAACUUAGAAUCAUCUUUGUGAAAUAUCAAAGUGAGCAGCAAUGGUAUGGGUUGGGUGGGUUUUGAGUCAGUUCAAUUUGUUUUAGGUUCAAAAUUGAUGAACCCGUACUUAAUAGUUGUACAAAUUGAUAACUUCAUGAUUUAUGAGGACAUAGAAAUUUUGGAAUACUAAAUGCAUUUUUCUAAAUUAGGAGAGCUAUUACUGGUUAGGCAUUUCUACUGUUUGAAGGACAAACCUGUUAGGAACCAGAUCUGGAUUCCUCAUGCUUUGGUCAAACCAUUCUGUAAUUGUGGGACUGGCCGUUCCUUUUCUUUUUUCCCAGUGUCAGUGGUCAUCAACGAAGAAAAAAUUAUGAAGCUUGUUAGCAGCCUGCUGAAUCAUAGGUUGAAAUAGGGUUGCCUUCGACAUUACUGGAAAAUCUGAUUUUUGUAAGUUAAUGAUAUUCUAGUAGUCUGCCUAGAGACCAGUGCAUACUGAUUAAACAACUGGUUUAAAUCAUUAGGGCAUGAUCAGCCCGUUAUCUGCACUCACACAAUAGGCAGGGAGGCUGUGAGCAAAUCAUAUUCAAUGAUUAGAAAUGUUCAAAAAUUUCAAGAUAAUAAAUAUGCGAGCGUUUCAAUUGGACAUAAGUAUUUUGGUUUCUAGUUCUAAUAGAGAUGUCUCCAAGCUAUAUUCUAGUCACUUUACUAUUCUGAAUCAGAAUCAGAACCAGAAUCAGCGGAUGUUUUUCAUUGUAAACUUUUAAUAGAUCUCUUACUUAUUAUGAUUUUAAUCCAAUGAUUGAACUGGAUAAGAGAGAAGAGCUAGGGUCAAUAGGUUCAAUUGGGCUCCAAAUGGCAAUCAACUCAUGACAUUGCAUGAAAUAUACAACAUGCUUCUUUUGAAAUAUUAUAUAUUUACAAAUUUAGUGCAUAUAUGCUUAUAUUUGUAUAUUUACAAUGCAAUGCAUAUUACUAUCGAGGAGGCAGAAAUUGAACAUAUACAUUCAUAAUGCAAUUUUUGAUAAUUGUACAGAUUUUCUUUUCUGGGUAAUAACAUUCAGGGAAAAGAAAAAUAAAUACAAGGUUAAGACAAUCUAAGACAUGAAGACAGUGAAGCAUGGCUUAGGACAUGGUCAAGUCGUAAAAACUAUGGCUAAGACUAUCUAAUACAUGAACUUGUACUGUAAGCAGGCACAUUGGUACAAAAUUUCCAUAUCAACUAUAUCUAAGUGGAUAUUGUACUAUGUUUAGAGUAUGAAAUUUCCAUAUGAAUUUAUGAUGAACAAGACUUCUAGUUAGUUUAACUUUAGUUUGCAUAUGAUUUUGACACACUAGCUUUAAUCUGAUUAAAAAUAAAACUCAUUCUGUUUCCUAUACAUUUAUCAAAGAAAUUAAACUUAUUAGUAUGUUAACAGUUGAAAAGGCAAUAUCUAGAAACUAUAGAUCAUCAAAUGACCUUCUUUCCUGCAGCUUGAUCUCCAGACAUUAUCAAUUGCAAUCCGUUUCUUUAGGGCAAAAACCCCAGAGAAAAGGGCAGCAGUGGACUUGGACACUCAUUAUUCACAGGUAAACAGAAGUUCAUGUUUUACCUAUUAUUUUGCUAAUUAACUGUGGAUGUCAUUACUUAGGAAUUGGAACUUCAAACAAUGUUCUAGUAACAAUUCUUUCUCCACUAGUUUUUCUCAUCCUUUUAAUAUUGAAAGGGAUGGGAAUGGUGUAAAGAUGAUUGUGUUUGUGGUAAGAUUCCUUUCAGACUAAUUACUAUUUGUGACAUGGGGUGCAGGAAUAUCUUGAAGAAUAUGUUGGAUCUUCUACUAGAAGAGCAAUUUUAUAUCAAGUAAGAACUCUUGUUUUCUAGAUGAUCAUAUAAUUUUAACAAACCUGUUUCCCUUGAAUUUGGAGUAAGAUACUGUUAUUCUUUAUAUCUCUGGACUUUUCAGGUUGGGGUGUCAUUUUGGUAGUCACCUAUCUGUUCAAAAUUAAGCAUCCUACAAAUCAAGGGUGAUAAAGCUAUCUAAGUCAAGUGAAAUGGUCAAUUAUUCAGUUUUUGGUCUGUUGUCUACAAAAUUAUGUUUUAGUUUUGCUUGCUAUCUGGCUUUUGGCAUGUAGCGUCAAGAGGCUGUAGUUAGAUAACGAAGUAUUUGGUUGAGUAUUUCGAGAUUUUUCUUUUUCAAGGUUUGCUUUUUCACUGGCACCCUCGAUGGAAUCGAUAUCAGUUGAUUGAUUCAGUUGGGCCUGACAGUCUUAGGCUUUCUUUUGGUAAUGGAUAUUUAUUUUAAGAUAAUCAUUGUAGUUUCCUUAACUCGUUACAACAUUGACAAUAUUUAAAGUUCUUAUUUUAUAUAUACCUAUUUUCAAGGAAAAUGCCGAUAGCUUGACCUCAAAUAUGUUACUCACAGGAAUAUGUAAAAGGUAUAUCAGCAACUGGGAUGCAGUCUAAUUAUGGUUUUGAUGGUCAAAUCCAUGCCUGCUGGAUGCAUAAAAUGACACAAAAAGACAUUCAAACCAUUCGUUCAGCUGGAUUUCUUGUGUCAGUGAUUCAUGGCAGGUACAUGAGCAACCAUAAUGCACAUGAACAUAGUCAUAUAAUUUUGUCUAAAUUUAUAUUAUUAAAGUGACAUGCUUUAUGAUUUUAUUAUUCUAAGAUACUUGUAAAGGAAUAUGCAUAGGGCAUACAGGAGUGACAAUUUGUUGCAAAAUUAAACUUCAUUUCUCAAAUAUCAUUUAGAUGAGUUGAAGUCUGCAAAAUGUUUCUUUAUUAUUAUCAAACUGUUUCACGAAUUAAUAAACUAUAUAAUGUCAAUUAUCAUAAAAGAAAACAAUAUGCUUAUAUAUUCUGGGAUUCUGUAGAUAUAAUGUUAUGAGAUAGGCUCCAAAUACUGAUAGGAAAUUAAAACUGGGUUCUUCAUGAAAAAAUAAUAAAAUAAAAAAAUUGGGAAAAAUUACCUGAAACGGAAGUCCGUGCUGUGCUUUACAGUAAAUUGUCAAAGUUUGCAAUCAACCUGCAUUAACAAGGGAGAUGACAGUAUUUGGCAAGAAUUUGGUAUUUUCGGAGUGAAGAGUAUUAGUUUUGUUUCAAUGCUUUUCUUAAUCUCAGACGAUCAAGAGAAUUGUUGUUUCAUUCAUGCACAGACAAGCACAAAGUGAAAACAAAUGUAUACGCAUGCAAACUUGGAAAUAGGUUAAGAUACAUAGAACUUAGAAGGUCGUGCAGGAGCUGGUUAAUAUUUUGGGCAUUUCUAGUAGUGAUACAUGGAUAACUGAAUGUUACAUAACUGAAUUUGAGCAAAAAUAUUAAUUCGCUCCACUGAAUGAUAGGCAUGAUGUCAUUGCACAAAUCUGUUAUGCAAGGAGACUAGCAGAGAAGCUGUACCCUGUUGCUAGAAUGAUAGAUCUUCCUGGAGGACAUCUUGUAAGUCAUGAGAGGACAGAAGAGGUAUUUCCUUUGCCCAACAGAUCGGACAAAUAUGCAAGUAGUCCAAUUGGUUUUGUGAGACAUUUACAAUUAAUGAAUUAUUAAAUGGAGUACAGUUGUGCAAACUAAUUGGGAAAGUUUUCUUAUCAAAGUCAGUAAAAAAUUGUCAUAAUUGAAUUUGAUUGAGACAGAAGGGUCCUUACAAUUGUAAUUAUGGACAAACUAUCUUAAUCUUCCUAAUAUUGAGGAUUGAUCUUGAGUGACUCAAGAUUUUUGAACAACUGGGAUUGAAUUAGAUCUUCACGCGUAAAAUAAUGUUAUGAAUUUAUUGGUAGAAAGAUGUCACAAUGCUUCUUGAAGUUUUACUUUCCUAAAUUACUAAUAUUUGUUUAAUUUUACUUGGCUACAAAUUAAGCUUAUACACAUUAAACUCUUUCUUGAAAUUUCAGGUCAAUCAAGCUCUCAUUGACUUGAUCAAGGCAUCUGAAAAGAAGAUAAGCCCGCAGGAUUGGACUAAUCUGCCCCAGACAAGUUCUGGUAAGCAUGCCACAAUCAAGAUAGUCUUUCUCUUUUCCAUGUUAUGUGUGGGCAAUAAUGUUAGAGCAUACUUGCCUAACAUGGGUUGAAGCUUUUCAUACUGAGUUGUCUGUGAAGAUAAACUUGUGGUUAAUCCAUAGAGUUCCCAUGUUUCCAAUAAUAUGUUCAUGGAUUUGGAAACCUAAGAGUUCCAGAAGGACACAUGAUAACUACUUAAAAGAGCUCAAAUCAACACUGAAGCUUUUUCCAGACACAAAAAUCAUCGGUGGUCAACUUGUUUUCAGCUAGGUUAUCUUCCUCUCUGUCUGGUUAGGAUUGAGAGGGAGACAAUUAGCAAUUUUGAUGUUUCUACAUCAGAACUCUGUUUUCAGUCUUUGACAUUUUCUGCUGAUAUUUUCAGUUCUUUGUCAGGGGUUUUGGCGAAAGGGAUGUCAUUUGUAAGAACAAGUUCGGGACCAAGAAGCUAUGUUUCAGGCCCACUAGAGAAGCUACAUCUGUAUCUAUUAUACCUCUGUGGCCUCUUCUUGUUAGCAUUUGAGUAUGCGAGAAGGCUUCUACAGAGUCUAAAACCAGUUAGAGUGCGAGCCUCUCCCACUUCAGCCAGCAUGCAGUGAACCCUCUUUUUUACUGGUAAUUUUCAGUUUGCUUCCCAAUCUUUCUUGUAGAACAAAAACAACUAGCUAGAAAACAAUACAUAAUAUCCUCACUGUUUCUAUCCCUUCUUUUUGCAGGGUUUCACUAAUUUGUCGCGCUAAUGGCGUGGCACUUUGUGUUUUAAGCAGUUUGCUUACAGGAUUCUUGAGUAAAUCUACUAAAAGUUAUACAAAAGAUAAUAAAUAAACCCGAAUUUGCUGUGGGAGAUAUCAGAACAACCGAUACAACAAAGCAAAUUAGUCAUAUGCAUAUGGAAGGGAAAGAAUAAACUGGAGACGGCCUUUGCUUUUUCACUAUCAAAAAAUUAUGCUAACAGAUAUACCACUAUACCGAUCUCUCUUGCAGCACAAACACAAUGAAAACAACUCGCAAGGAGGGAAUCCUGUUUUUGCAUCUAAGGCAGUAAAUAUUGCUGCUUAUAUUAUUUUUAUUUUCAACACUUGUCAGUUAUAUAUUAUCAAAGAUUAGAAACUCGACUUACAACAGCAAGGGAAAAAUGUUAGUAAAAUAAUGGAAUUUGAGCCAGAUUGCAGUACAGUCUGUGUUAUAAAUGUCAAAACCCAACAGAGGAAUGACUAUUAAGGGCCAGAUUGGUUGACAUUUGAUGUGGCUUCUAAAAUAAUCGACUUGAGCUUUGCUAGACACAUGAUUAUUUAUGAGAUAAUGAAGGUAACAUCAAAUCACUUUUAAAAGAUUUUAUUAAUCACUUAAAAGAGUCUUUGGUGUAGUGGUUGGUUUGUUGUUCUAAUAAGUGACAUGUUUAAGGUUUUGUGACGACUCAAAAUAUUUUUUUAGAUAUAUUCCUCCAUAUAAAUAGGAUUUGAUUUCCAAUUUGAAUUUCUCACGACCAAAUUCACGGAUGAGAGUUGAACAAAAAAUCUCAUUUAACACCAUCUGUCAAUUUGGUUUGGGAAUGCUAUUUUCAAAAUGACUGUAGGUGUUAAAUAGGUUUUAUUAUUGAAAUUAAUGACCUUGAUAGACAUAAAUUUAAAAUAUAUACAAAAAAUUUUUAUGUCAAUUUUCAAUUAUAGUUUCUCUAAGAACUAUUUAAAAAAAAUGAAGACACAGUAAAAUAAUGCUUUAUUAGGAAAAACUUUAAAUUUAGUCAUCUUAAGAAACCCGGCUCUACAUAGUCAUAAUUAUUUGUGCAUUACAAGAGUAUAUGUUAUGUUAGAUUAAAUGAACUUACUUCCACAUAAUACAAUUACACAAUGAGAGCAAUUUAUUAAAGAGAAUGUAAACAUUUAGAGAUUUUUAAGAUGACUUUACAUAUAUUCUAACAAUGGUACAUAGAUAAUAGAUAUAUUGGAUUUGACACGUUCCAUUAGUAAAUUAUUAAUACAGUGUGUAUUUUACCUCUAUCCCUUGGUAAUAAAGAUAAUUAAGUCAAAAAAAUAAUUUUUGUAACUCCACUUCUAUUGAGUUGUAAUCCCCUCAUAGUAACAAAUUAAUUUGGUUUCAAUAUUACGAAUGUAGAGAGGUUUCACUAUAAUAUUUUUGAAAUGUAAGAAAAAAAAGAUAAAAAAGUAAUAAUAGAAGUUGUGCUAGUUUGUUUUGAUUUUUUUUUUUUUAAAGAAAACAGCUUAAAACAAUAAAAAGAUGUUUCUCACUGCAAGAAAUAAGUUUUUUAGAAACAUCUAAACAAAACGUUCUAUAAUUUUUGAAAAUAGAAAACAGAAACUGUGGUAACAUUUAUAUUAUUCCUUCAAAAUCCGCAGUGAUCCUGGACAUACCGUAAUGUAAGUUGAUACUUGAUCGUCAUCACUUUUCACUUUCACAUGAUCAAUUCUAGAAACCCUAAAAUAUAAAUACUUGUAAUUAUUAAACAAAACAACAAAAACAACAAGAAGAAGAAACGAAAAAUGUAAAGAACGUACCUGGAUUUGCUUGGGAGCUGCAGAAGUUAGCUUGUGUUGUGAUUGGGAAGGCGAAUGAACGAUUGAUUGAUUGAUUGCUUGAUGAAAGCAAAAAGCAGAGCAAAAACAUCGAAAUGGAAAUUGUAAGUUGAAAUGUUUUUCUAGAGAGAGAGAGAGAGAGAGAGAGAGAUUCUAAAAUAACUAAUUGCGUUGGUGCCAAGUAAUAUUCCAAAUUAAGCAAUCAAAGAUUCGAAACUAAUGAUGCCAAUCCAAUUACCAAAUAUACCCCUUAGGAAUAUCCCAAUAUGAUCCUCUAGUUAGUAUGCGCGAUGCAGAACCAAACAACACAAGUUACCUACUUACCUUGCCUCUCGAGUCUUUACUUACAAGUCUUUCAAUUGAUGACUCGACUUCCUACCAAACACUCCCUCCAAUCCAUACGUCAAUUUGUCUUUGAGAAAUACCUAUUUAACUUGGAAAUAUAUUUCAUAUUGAUAAGAAAUAACUAAUAUCAUUUUACUCAAUAUUUUUGCUUAUAAAUUUUCAUUUUACUUACUAAUAAUAUAUUAAUCUAUCAGUUUUAUGUUAAAUCUAUUUAUUUUAUUUUUUAUUUAUAUGUUACUAUGUUUCAUUUUUUAAAUUUAUGUUUUAUAUUGCGCUUAAUAUUGAUUAAUUAGUUUUACGUUGUAUUUGUAAGUUUCAUUUAUUUACUAGUGAUACAUUAAUUUAUCAAUUUUAUAUUAAUUUACUUAUUUUAUCUUCCAUUUACAAAUCUUAUGUUCUAUUUCUAAAGUUUAUGUUUUAUUUUACAGUUUAUGUUAAUUUACUAGUUUUUAUACUAUAUUUACUAAUUUUCGUUUUAUUUACCAAUAGUACGUCAAUUUACCAUAUUAAUGUUAAUUUACUUACUUUACCUUCUAUUUAUAAGUUUUACAUUCCAUUUCCAAAAUUUAUACUUUAGUGUCCACUUAAAGUUGAUUUACUAUCUUUAUACUAUAUUUGUAAGUUUGUGUUUUAUUUACCAUUAAUAAAUUAAUCUACUAAUUUUGUAUUAAUUUAGUUAUUUUAUCUUCCAUUUAUGUUUUAUUUCUAAAUUUUGUGUAUGUUGAUUUAAAAAUUUUAUGUUAAAUUUACUAAUUUUAUAUUUUAUUUAUAUAAUUUAUAUUUAAUUACAAUAUUAAUAUUAUGACUUUAAUCACGACAUUAUAAAAUGACUUGAUAAGAAAAUAACUAAUAUCAUUUUUCUCAAAAGUUUUACUUAUAAAUUUUAGAUUUAUGAUAAGCUUUAAAUGUUAAAUUUUUUUUAAAAAAAGUUACUUAAAAAAUCUAUAUAUUAUCUAAAAGAGUUGUACUAAAAUGCGAAAACUCGGCUCGUGCUGGUUCAACUCAAAAUGAAAAAAAAACUCGGGCCGUCUCCCCUAUUUUAAACCCUACUGGCUAAUUUUAAUAAAGUUUUGCAGCGAAGAAUAUAAGUGAUGGCAGCUGCUCUACCUUCUGAUGCAUUGCAAUGGGAAUUCAUCUGGUUUUAAUUCUCUCUCUUAGCUGUUUCUGUUUCUUUAAUUUAACAUUUUGAUAUGUAUUUAUUAUGCUAGAGUUUCAAGUAAGUAUCCAUUUACUGGGAUUUUCCACUUUUUGAAAAAUGUUAAUUUUGCCUUAUUUAUUCAAUAUUACUAUCUUCCUCUGUGAAAUUCGCAAAAAUUUUAUGCAUUGGUUGGUUAUUCAAUGUGGGUUUGUUCCAUUUUGUUCAUGUACUGUUUGUAUAUAUGAGAGGUUUGGUUUCUGAAGAUGGGUUUCAGUCAAUUGUCUUCAAAGCUUUAUUUCCUAAAAGAGGAAAGAAAAAAAUACCAAAAUGUUUAAUUCUACUGUUACAUGUUUGCGUUCUUAGGUUCUGCUAUGCUUUGUAUAUUUCUUAAUGUUAGAAAGAUGUGUUCUUUUCUAAUAUGAUUGUUUAGGAUGAAUAUGAGUUGCUUAUCGAGUUGCAAUAUAUCGAAUAUAUUGAAGACAACCUGCUUCAUGGGUUUUGAUUCUAUUAACUGUUCUUAUUUCAAGUAUGACACGAUUGCAUGGGUGUUCGAUGAGGCUAAUAGCGACUUCUUAGGGUUGGCGCUAUAAGUUUCUUUUAUUAUUGUCUAGUAUCGAAACUUGAAAACAAAAUUUAAAGAUAAUGCUUACGAUACGAAAACAAAUGUUUGUGACAGUAGCUUGAACAAAAUAGAAGGAAAUCAAUAAGAAAAGGUUAAUUCUAGGAAAUCUAGACCUCCAAAAUAGUAUUGGUUAUUUGAGAAACCAAUAAACUCCCAAAAGACAACUUACAACUUGAGAGAAUAGUAAUACUCAAGACACUCUUUUAUUGAAUAACAUCAAGCUUUAAAUAAAACUCUAGUUCAAAGUAACAAGCAUAAAAAUAGCAAGCAUUAAGUAUGUUCUCCAUCAUGCUCCAUGAAUCCACAAAAUAAGGAACCAGCUAACAACUUAAUUUUGGCUUAUUAAAAACCAACUACAGUCAAAAUAUAAAGUAAAUAACUAAAAGAAAAUUAUAAUGGAAAGAUUGUAACAGUUUUUCUAAUUUUCUGUUAUGGUGUUUACUCUAAUUGAUGGGCGGUGGCUCAUAUUGUUAAAUUCUGGAUUGAGCAAUUUACUGGGCAUGUGAACUAAUUUGUAAUUUAGUUAUAUGUUGUGUGAACCAUAAAAAAACAAAGGGUAAAGUCAGUGGUAAUAUUAUCAGAAUAUUGGAAUUGUUCUAAAAGAUUUUUGAAUAAACUGGCAACGAGGAAAAUAUAAUAUUGGAACUUGAGUGGGUGAAUUGUUCGCAGUUUUGUUUGUUGAGGAACACAACAGAGCAUCUUUAAUUCCUCUGUUGUUUACAAUUGAUUUAUUAUUUUUUUUCCCCCUUAACGGUGGAGUGCUCUCUGUCCACCUUUCAGAAGUUUUUUUUAGAGGAACUGUACCUGAAAUGUUUUGUUGUUUCUUAGAAAAUGGUUUUUCCCAUGCAGUGAUUUUGAAGUGGAUUACGAGUCCAAUGAGAAUGCAUCAAUUGUGUAUACAGCAUUAGCUGUUGAUAAGGAGGUGAUGCAUCAUGAUCCUAAGAUCAUACCUUGCUCCUUUAACUUUAUUGCUUCUUCAAAAAUUCUUACUUGGAUUCAAUUUCUCAAUGCAGUUGCAACCAGACAAAGUGAAAAGGCAGAUAUCUGUCGUUAAUGGGAAACUUUUAGUGUAAGUUUCUAUUCUUUGAUCAUUCAUUUGGAAGACUCAUUACAUAACUGAUUUUUCAUUCUUGUUCAAUAUUCAUUCAAUUUGCACCUACCAGUUUAUCCUAUGAGACAAUAUUCAUUUGGAAAUUUUGUGUGGCCUGUUUAAUAAUCAUUUUACCUUCUUUUCCUGCCAAAUUUUCAAAUAUGUUAUUUAAGGAGAGUCCUUCCUCUAAAAUACCAUUUUUCUUUAGUAUAUCAAUUUUGCCUGGACUUUGCAGUUUAGAAGUUUCUUCAUUUUGUUUAUUUUCUCGUCUGAUUCAGGCACUUUGAGGCAGUUGAGGCCAGGUUUCUUCGUGCAUCAUUUUCUGCUUUUGUAGAUGUGCUUACGCUCGCGACAAAAACAAUCGAACAGUUUGGUCAAGGAAUGGAAUUAUAACAUUGUACUGUCUUUGGCAGUUGGUGAAUCAUUCUGAGUAGGAACUGUAUUACUUUAAUAUGCCUUCUUGUUUUGGAUUAGUUGACGUUUUUGUAACAAGAGAAUCUAUAGUGUUAGUUUGACAAUUUAAAUCUUAAAAUAUGGGAAAGCUGUAACAAAUUCUUCAAAGCUGUGAAUUAUAUUUUGAAAGAAUUAGCAAGGCUGACAAUUAGCAACAAUUUUCUGCAUACAUUUUAUCUUGGGCAGAAUCCUCAAAAGUAGAUGCAUCUUUAAAUCUAGAAUAAAAGCAGGUUUGACUUGUAUUAUAAGAAAUUCAAAUGGGGUGUCACGGCUGCUUCCAUCACUAGGAAAACUUGCUUAGAAAAUAUGGAGAUUGCUGAAUGCUUUGGCAAUUCUUGAUGGCAUCAAAAUGGCAGUUGAUUCUGGACUGCACCCACCACUAACUGUUGAAUCUGACUAUUUUAAUGCAGUGAAAUCAAUCUUAAAGAAGAGAGGAAUGCUCAGUUAUGUAACAAAAGGGAAACAACUUAUAGUCGCAAUACACUCAUCAAUAAUCUCAGGAACCUCUGAUUAUUGAAUUACAAUUUUUUAAAAUCCAUUCCAGAAUACAAGCAUACCUGUCCAAGCAAGAUACUCGAUGCUCUACAUCCGAAACUUCAUCAACCUUUGCAUCUAAGAGAUCAUUAACCUUACAAGUCACAGACCCAAAUGGUCCACAGUAUUGACAGAGCUUUGAUGGCAUAAUCUUUCAAUGUUUCCACCACUCUGCAUAAAUGUGAAGAUGGUUUAUUUUCUCAAUAGAAAAUUGAAAUUAUCAGCUGUAAUUAGAGCAACUCACAUUUGUUUUUGGUCAUCACUGGUGUACCAUAGUUCAAGAUUUUCGGCCUCUGAGUAUAACACUGUUCUCAGGUUUUUCAAAUCCUGAAAGUCGCUUGAGUUAAAAAAAGACCAAAGUAAAUAUUUCCAUAAGAACUCAAAUCUAUUACAAAUUGGUGCUUUUGUAUUUCCAUAAAUGGCUAUCUACUCCAAGGCUUGUGGAAAACUGAGUAAAAUUUGGAAAUUGACACACGAUCCCCCGUUUGAAUCAUAUAAACAAGUAUCGCAUGAUUAAACAAGAAUUGGCUUUGAAGGCAUAUGCCCCUAUUUGCCACAAUAAUUUUUUUUCUCUUUUUCUUUUCUUAAAAGUGAAUGCCGAGGUGGGUGCAACUUUUAGUAAUAGCUAUUAGUAGCAUAAAACAAAGAUUGCACGCUGUAAAACAACUGUAAUAGGGAAACUCGUAUAGGCAUCUAAUCCAGCAGAUUAAAACAAAAUAGAGAAACAGUAGUACCUUGAGACUAUCAGAGAACAGCAAGCUCUGCUGCCCUUUUCUUAAAAGUGAUUGAUUAUGAUGAAACAUUCAGCCUUGUAAUUAAGCUUGCUUCUGUUUGCUUUGUGUUUGGCAUUAUUACAAGAUGGUAUUUGCGACAACUUGAUGUGAACAAUAUCUUCUCACAUGGGCACCUAUCAAAGGAGGUAUUUAUGUCUCAGCUACUUGGUUUUAUUGAUCCCACGUAUCCUAGUUAUGUUUGCAAACUUAAAAAGGCACUCUCCGGCCUUAAGCAAGCCCACGUUCUUGGAACAACACUGAGCUUCGUAACUUUUUUCUAUCGACGGGGAUUUUUCACUUCAUUAUCAGAUUCUUCUUUAUGUAUCUAAUCUCAUGCUGGCGUGCAUGAGAUUGUCUUUGUGGGUAAACUUUCAUCUGUCGCCACAAUGUAGCUAGGCACCAAUUAUCCUGUAUAUCACUGUCGCAUGAAACACAUAGCCAUUGACUUUCACUUUGUUCAUCACAAAAUUCAAAAUGGUGAUCUCCGGGUGUCUCAUGUAUCAUCUUAAGACCAAUUAGCCGAUGCCGUCACCAAACCUCCAUCUCAUCAACAAAUAAGUCUUCUUUGUUCCACGAUCGGUGUCGCCAAUGGUAGCACCAUCUUACAGGGGCAUAUUAGAGAUACGACACGAUUCUAACAAAGUGAAUUAGAGUCCAAAAACUAGGUAAGCUUAUUGAAAAGAAAUUAGUUUUGUAGAAAUAUUGCACAUUAGGUGUUUGAUAAAAUGUUACUUAAAUUAUUUAUGCUUUGUUUUUGCAUCAUCAAAGUGUUAAGAGGCGUUUGUUGAGUUGAUAUGGUGCGACAAGAGUUUCGGUGACAUUAUAUGUUGGUGCAACAGGUGCCUGUCCCACCAAGAGAUGGUUGCACCAACACUGUCUCUUGGUGCGACAGGGUUCGACAGGCUAUCUAUCGCACCUGAUCAAGUGUUAUGCCUAGCCAUGACCGGCACCCGACACCCCCACGAAUUUGGUCAUCACCCACACCAAUAACUUCACCCAAGCCACGAACAUCACAAAUUAUUCAAUCUUUCCUUACCAUCACCAACAAAAUAAAAAAAUAACAACAUAAAAGAAGAAAAGACAAUAGAACAUGCAAUAAAAUUUAGGAUUUUUGAACUAACCGUUGAUUUCAGAUCUUAGCUGAAAUUUUGGUGACGUUGGUUGCCGAGAAUUGACUCCGGAAAGUCGCCGGUGAUGAGUGAACUUGGGAGAGAAUCAUUCGUUAGAGAGGGAGGAAGCUUAGUGAAUGAGAGGGGUAUUUUCGCCACUUUGCAUGUUGUUUGACUAAUAUUGAUAGAAAUAAAUUUGGAGGGCUAAUUCUAAAAAUUGACAAAAAUUUUAGGUUAAUUUUAUAAAUUUCCCUUGUUAUUUCCUUUCUCUAUAUUAUUUAUUGUAUAAACCUAACAAAUUGCAGCCCUUUUUUUUUCCCCAAAUCUGACACUCUUUUUUUUAUAAAUUUAUUUACCCUGUCGUUUGUCUCACUUUUUUCUUUUCAUUUUCACUUAUUUCGUUACCCAGGCCACAGUUUCAUAGACUUUGUCCCGGCCCCGCACUCUACUUUUGUUAUUUUUAUCAAAUGAGCAGCACUAGCAGCACCAUGUAAUUAUCUUUUCAGACCCCCUUCUGGUAUAUCAGAGAAGCCCAAUAACAAAUACAUCCGCAAAAUAUCUACCAAAGAUAUCUCAACAAGCUAGUCAAGCAGGGAAUGGCUCCAUUCCUUAAGCACAUGUUUGGUUGGAAAAAAAUUGGUAUAAGCCCUUAUUUGGUUGGAAGAAAUGGUAGGAGGGGAGAGGAAUAGAAAGAAAAGAAUGAGAGAGAAAAUGAGUGUAAAUUAGGGUCAAUUUCAUUUACAUUAUUUUAUUGGACAUGAAAUUCAUCUUUUUUCCCUUAUUUCUUUCCCCUCUCCUCAUCUCUCCUUAUAUUUCUUCAAACCAAACAUGCCAAUUGACGACCUGUCUGGUGUCCCCUUGCCUACUCAUCAUACCAAUAAAGAUUGAAAUUAGGCCAUUUAGAUUAAAGAUAAGACGGAAUGGAAAUAUGGAAUCGUUAAUUAUUAUAGCUAUGACCCAUCUAAUUUGCAAAUGGUUCUUUCCCUUUCAAUAUUAUUGGACGUGUUUGCAAGGAAACCUCUUCUAUCUUUCUUGCAAUUAAGACUUUUUGCGUAUCCAAUUACUGUCAACUGUUUUUGAACGUGUAGAAGAUAACAACUUGAAGACUUGAGAGACAGCCAGCGUUAAUUCAACAUCAAGAGUAGCUUAUUAGCUUGCAGGAUUCUUGAUGUUGAGGGGAAAAAAAGGGUUCACAUAUGCUGGGUAUAAGGUCUAUAAAACUUUAAUUAUUUCAUAAAAUUGUUCUAUUUUUUAUUCCUCAUCACAUUGGGGGAUUACUCCCCCAAUGGCCCAUUUUAUUUUCAUUUUUAUGUAGGUCAGUAUGGUUACUGGAAAUCAAAUAUUGUCUCUUUUUUCUCCACUUAUUGAGGACUAUGGAGAAUUAAACAAAAAUCACCAAUGGCCUAAAAUAUACAAUGAAUAUUUAUUAACAGAUUUUAGAUAAAAUUAAUUUUUGAACCGAUUGAAACUCCCAAAAACUCAAAUUUCGAAUUUGUUAUAAAAAUAGAAUCUAUUUUAUUUAUCAUUGUCAAAUCCUCCUCUAUAGCACAUUAGCAAAUUUGCAACCUUUCUAGCUUAAAUUCUAGGUUCAAAUCCUCGCCGCGGAGUUAAAUUUUGUUACAUUAAAAUUUUUGCACAGAAGUUUGAGCUAAAUCUUAAAGAUGAAUUAUUUUCUAAUUACUUUUUUUGUGGUUCUUUUAUAAAGAAGGCAAAAUUCUCCACGGGUUUCGGACCCCAUCCCAAAUGGCGUGAAUUUUGAAUAUUUUUUAGAAAUGGGGUGAGAAAUGGAUAAAAAAUAAUCCCUAUUUUUUUAUGGGGUGAACUUUUAAUUAGAUAGAAACCUAUCCGUUCAAUUGAUGCUGAAAAAAUAAAAGUUUUGCAGGAUCUUUUCUCCUAGCAAUGAAAGAGAACCGCUUGUUUGAUGUACUUGAUGCUCGGGUUCUUAAGGAAGCCAAGGAAGAACAGAAAUACAGAAUAUUACGGUUGCUAUGCUUGCAAAAAGAUGCUUGAACUUCAAUGGAAAGAAGAAACCUACAAUGAAAGAACCUUAGAAGAGAAUGAAAUGACAACAGCAUCCGAGAAUCAAGGCAGAGAACAGCCUAUUGAUUCAAUAUAAUUUAAAAAUUAUAUUGACUAAUUGUGUUAUUCAAUCAAACCUUAUUGACCAAAGGAACAUUUACCAAAGAUAAAAAAAAAUAUAUUUGUUUUUACAGAUUUUGGGGUUGGAAAAAAUAAAUAUAUCUAGAACAAUGAAUUUGUAUUUUUUAGGGAGACGAGAUACCUCACUGAUUUGUUGUGUGUGGUGCUUCUGAAUUUGGAGGAGGUGAAAAUGGAAGAGGGAAGUGGUAACAAUGGUGAAAGGUCAGAACCAAGAGAGAUGUUUUUCAAAACGAGCUUCACGCCUGCAAAACAAUGAAAUAGAGGUUAGAGGUAAAGCCGAGGUACCCCGGCGUUCACACUCCGACGCCCAAAUUAGCAAACUCAAGCUUUUUAUGGCCAAGAGAGUUGGUCAGCCCUUUGUAAAUCAAGGUUUAAGGUUGAAGAAAACUUAUUUUGUGGAGUGUGAGUGUUCAUGGGUGAAUGAGAACAUGAUGGAGAAUAAAACCAGACACCUUUAUAUAUGGAGUACCUCAGCUGCCACGUGGCGUAUCCUUUUUGACUAACGUCUUUUUACCUUUUUAGGAUUUUUGGGCCGUUAUGUGCAUGUUCGCGGCGUAUCUCAUCCUUUAGAAACGUGGAGCGCACUGGAGAGUGGUCCAGGGUACCUCUGCAGUGACUGUCAGGUAGGCGGCUGAGGACCACUGUCCUCGGGACAAUGUCCUUCACUUUUGGCAGAGGUAGCAGGCGGCUGUCCCCCCCUUUUAGUAUGACGUUUUUGAUUCAUAAUUCUAACAAAAUCAAAUAUUAUCCUUCAAGAUAUGAAGAUAUUUCAUAUGAUGGACUUUUUCAGAGGAUUCUCCUGAGUCGGACUUGUCGGGUACCCCGAUCCAUGUGGGGUACCUCGAGUUACGCUGGAGUUAAAUGUGGUAUCUCUAAUUAUACAUGGUACCUCAAAUCAUGUUGGAUACCUCGAAUCAUGCCAGGUACCUCAAGUUAUUUCAGGUAUCUUGAAUUGUGCUGGAUUUAUUCCGGGUACCUCAAAUUAUACGGGGUACUCCAAUCUAUGAGGGGUACCUCGAGUUACUCUGUAGUUAUGCGGGGUACCUCUGAUCGUGCCGGGUACCUCUAAUCGUGCCGGGUACCUCUAAUCGUGCCGGGUACCUCUAAUCGUGCCGGGUACCUCUAAUCACGCCGGGUACUUCUAAUCGUGCGGGGUACCUUAGAUUACACUGAAAUUAUUCCAUUCGUUGACAAAUGGCGUUCUGCUUUCUUUCCUAUUUUUCCCCCAAACAAUAUUUUAAAGCUACAUUUUGUUUAAUCCAAAUGAAGCUACUCAAUCUAUAUUUUAUUCCAAUAAAACUAUGGCUUCGUUUCAUAUCUUAAUUAAAUUAUAUAAUGAUGAAAUAUUAUAUUCUGAACUUAACUGAAUCCAAUAUCAUUUCACCAAUCGGUCAUAUGAGAUGAAAGAAAAAAUCUGUUGAAAUUAAUUUUAAAUUAAAGUUGACGAAUGGUGAUAUGAUACAUACACAUACAUGACUCAGAAUUUAUUAAAUUGAAGAUGUACUCAUCGUCUUGACGAUGUGCCCAAAUACUAGAAUGUGAGAAUGGUCUUUGGACUUUGGAGAAGACUUGAGAGGGCCCAAAGUAAUUAAAAGUCAAGAUUGGCAAUCUGAAAUUAAUCUCUGGCUUUAACAUGCAGGACUUUCUAGUCGGUGAGAAAAGUUUCUGAAUUAAUAUAGGAGCUAAUACAUGCACUUUCUGAACUAAAGAAAACUGAGUUUAAGCGGCGAAUGGCUGUGCAUCUUUGUCUGGUGUUGUUGCAGAUUAUUGUUUUGCACCUCAGGCCGAUCAAAGCAUCAGAAAGAUUUCCCUGUCCAACUGAAUGUGGAAAUGUCAGCAUCAGCUACCCCUUCGGAAUCGGAGAAGGGUGCUACUUUGACAAGGGUUACGAAGUAAUCUGCGAUCACUCUUCUGGCACUCCCAAAGCUUUUCUUCCUGGCGUCAACAGGCUAGAAUUAGUGGAUAUUCUCUCUAAUGAUUCAAGAGCCGCGGUUAGAGUCAACGUUCCUGCGAUUUUUUUAAACAGUAGUAGUAAGCGAACAAGCAAUAUUGCUAAAAGCGUCAACUUAUCAGGUACCCCUUUCUGCUUUUCGACUGACAAUAAAUUCGCUGCCAUAGGCUGCAAAAUGAGAUAUCACCAAGGGAACGGUUCAUCUCUGUUUGAUGGGUGUCUGUCGAUUUGUACUUGUGAUCCUACUCUCUACCCUGCUUGCUAUGAUUUCCUAUGCGCCCUUCCUCGAAAUAUUACUCAUCUGUUCAAUGUAAAUACAUCAUACUUGUUUUCUCAAAGUAUUCCUCAGAAAUGUCAGUCUGUUUUCCUGGUUGAUGAACAUUGGGUCAACAGCAAGUACCUUGAAGAUCCUCAUGAUUUGAAAGAUCAACAAGAAGGUUGUUUUGAAGAAUAUAACUCAUAUUCUAUUUUUUGUAAUUCGGAUAAAACAGGUUGUCUAACACAAUUAAGCUCAGGCCAUUUAUGUCUUUGCUCUGCUGGCUACAACCUAGAGAAAGCAUAUUGCUCAGGUACAUAUUGGAUUAUGUGUUAAAGAGAAUUUUUUUUUUUUUUCCCAAAGAGAAUAUCCGAACGACAAGAAGAAAAGGGAAAAUCCUUGGUGCUCCAGGAGCAUUUAGAUGCUAUUUCCGUACGAACAUUAGCAAUAAGUGUGAUGAGAAACGGAAAAUGCUAUUGGAGCACCCUAUUGUUUACUAGAGUUAAAUGUCAAAUGAUGUAACAGUCCUCCGUUGGAUGGUAAGAUGAUUAGAAAAGAGUUGUAAAAUUUAUCAUCCAAUAGAUGAUUGAAAUUAUUGAUUUUUAAAAUAUCCAUCGAAUUACUUGUAAAUGAGUAAAGUUUUCCCAUUACUGUAACUAUCUUUGUAAACAGAGAAUUAGAGACUAAAAAUGGUGGAGUUUUAUUUAGUUGUAGCCAUGAUUUAGUUUGAUCUUCCCUUUGAUUUAUUUUUAUUUGUUAUUUUCCGGGCAGGUGACUUGAUCUGUAAUAUCUCAAGCGGCUACAAUUGCUCCAAUUGUCCCGACGGUUAUAAUCGUCUCUCGUAUCGUUGCAUUAAAUUUUUCAACAAAUCUAACAGAUCUAACAAAUCUCGGGUUAAAUUCAUUAUUAUAGGUAUGCAUGUCGAUCGUUUAUUUUACAUCAUAAUAAAUUAAUAAUAUUUUUCAACAUAUAUUUCAAAUGAAAAUACUAAGUGUUUAUACGUUCAUUUAGUUUGAAGAUAUCUUUCCUAUUAUGAUAUGUUUCAUUAUUGUCCUCGAGAGCCGCAGGUUGCGGUGGUGGGCUUGCGUUAUUCUUUCUACUCAUUGGAAUAUGGUGGUUGUACAAGUUUACAAAAAGAAGAAUGGAAAUCAGGCUCAAGCAUAAAUUCUUUAAAAAAAAUGGUGGUUUAUUAUAUUACAACAAGAAUUGUCUUCCAAUGAAGGUAAUAUUGAGAAAAUGAAGUUAUUUACUUCAAAAGACUUGGAGAAAGCCACCGACAACUACAAUGCCAAUCGAAUGCUUGGUCAAGGAGGCCAAGGUAUUGUAUACAAAGGAAUGCUAGUAGAUGGACGAAUUGUGGCUGUUAAAAAAGCUAAAAUAUUGGAUGAGAGUAAUCUCGAGCAAUUCAUCAAUGAGGUAGUAAUUUUAUCUCAAAUUAACCACAGAAAUGUUGUUAAGUUGUUGGGAUGUUGCUUGGAGACAAAAGUUCCUCUUUUGGUGUAUGAAUUUAUUCCAAAUGGAAGUCUCAAUCAAUACAUACACUAUUGAUUCGAGGAGUUUCCAAUCACAUGGGAAAUGUGUUUAUCCAUUGCUGUUGAAGUUUCAGGUGCUCUAUCUUAUCUGCAUUCAACUGCAUCUAUUCCUAUUUAUUAUCGAGACAUCAAGUCCGCAAACAUACUUUUGGAUGAUAAAUAUCGAGCCAAAGUUUCAGAUUUUGGGGCUUCUAGAUCUAUAACAAUUGAUCAAACUCACUUGACCACUCAAGUACAAGGAACUUUUGGAUAUCUAGAUCCAGAAUACUUUCGGUCAAGUCAUUUUACAGAAAAAAGUGAUGUUUAUAGUUUUGGUGUAGUUCUUGUUGAGCUUUUAACUGGACAGAAACCUAUCCGUUCAACUGACGCUGAAGAGGAUAAGAGUUUAGCAAGAUAUUUUAUCCAAGCAAUGAAAGAGAACCGUCUGUUUGAAGUCCUUGAUGAUCGAGUUCUUAAGGAAGCCGAGAAAGAAGAGAUUAUUACCGUUGCUAUGCUUGCAAAAAGAUGCUUGAACUUGAAUGGGAGGAAGAGACCUACGAUGAAAGAAGUGGCAUUUGAAUUACGGGGUAUAAGAGAAUCAAUUGGAGCUUCCAUUUUGCAGCAAAAUUGUGAAGAGACUGAUUUUGUGGAUGGUGACAUUACUGGACAUGAUUUCGGAAGAAAUUCAUCUUCUAGUGGGUCAAGUUUAAAUAGUGUCUCAGUUUCUGUAGAUGCCGACCCUUUAAUUUCAAACAAAUGGUGAUAAAGAGAAGAAUUGCCUUGAAACUGUUUGUCUUUCAUAAAUAAGAUUGUGAGACUUUUCCAAUAUUAUCAUUCUUGUAUCGCUAGAGUUUCUUUGGGUACCAUCAUUUGUAAUUAAAAACUUCCAAGUCAUUUCAAUCAAAAUUUCCACUAUUUCAUUGCAUGCGCUGCGUUUUCCUUUUUUUUUUUUUAGGCAACUAGAGGAGAUCAAGGAAAAAUCUUUUGAAAUUAAUUUCUUAGUUGAAGUUUACAAAUGCAAGAUGAUAUGAUCUCUCGGUCUAAAGUGCAAGAACUUUAGCGCUAUGCCACCUAAUAUCUCUGAGUAAAUAGGAGAGAACAACUUGAGUACUUAAGAGGGCGAACGUUAAAUAAACUCCAGAGUGGCAUGUUGGAAUUUUAGCUUAUUGUUAUGCAGGACUUUCUUGGUAGUGAAAUAAAGUCAAAAGGAAGAUGGGAGGAAAUAAAGAUCAAUGCGCUUUCUUGUAUUUUAUGGGUUAAAGAUCUUUUCAUCCGAAUACAAAUUGAUAGAUAAAAUACCCUACAUCAUUUGUGAGUGAAUCUUAGGUCAAAUAUAUAAAGUUUGAACGAUCCUCAAAUUUUUAGUUAGAUUCCUUCGUCAUGGAGGCGUUGCAAAAGAAUAAUGCUAAGGGAAUCUCAACUUGAGUACUAAUGGAUGUGGUAUUUAUUUAGUGGAUAGUAAAAUAUUUAUUUUAUCAGUUAUAAAAUUUAUUAUCCAAUACAUGAACUAUGUAUAAAAUUUGAGACUCAAAUUAGGACUUAAUUGGUGGGGUCACAAUCGUAUUGGUUAAAAAUGAUAUCCAGAGAUAACUAAUGGUAAAUCGAAAACUCUCUCUCUCUCUGCUAAAACCCUUUCUGCCACAGGCUAAAAUUCACCAGCUUUGAUCAAUCAACCAGCUUGAAUUACACAGCCAUCGCAUUUUCAAACCUCCAAACUUUCAAAUCUAUUUUUCAACUCUUUGUUUCCAGCCACCGUAGCCGCGAACCAGCCACACCUCUCCACUGCUACCUCCCGCCACCAUGUCGCCAAUUGCCCAUCACUAUAGCAAAAAAUUAUGCUAAAGUAGUUUAGGCCGGGGAGGGAACCAGUAGGUCUUUUCUUUUUUCUUAUUUUCUAUUUCUCUUCUAUAUUUCUUUUGUUUUAUUUUUGUAUUUGCUUCUGUUAUUGUACGUUUUUAUGUUUUGUUGUUUUGUAAGAUUUUAUACUGCUCGUGCGGUGGUCUACAUAGACGGUGUUGUUUCAAUGUCCAGAUCGGGAUUGUGUCAGUAUUUGGAUUGGAAUAGUAUGAUUACAUUGAAGCUGUUGAUGGCUUUAAUAGUGGUACAUUGAGGUUACGAUGACCUCAGGCGAAGUUCUGAUGGCCUAGGUCAAGGGCUUAUUGAGAGAUUUUCUAGUGAAUCGUAAGGUUGGUUUUUUUGUUGCAUUUUGUGGAUUUUGUUUUUUGUUUUUGGUUGUUUGUUUGCAUUUUAUUGUUAGAAUUGUGUUUUCUUGUGUUUUGUUGAAUUAUCGGACACUAGGGGGUAUUUGAACUAUAGUAGCUAAGGUUGGUUCCUCUAGUGUUUCUUUAGAUUUUAAUUUGAGAAAAAUGACACCUACACCCUAAAGUUUGAGGAAAUAAUCGCAAAACUCCUAAGUUUUUAAAAAGGGACACUAAAAUUCUUUUUUUACCAUAAUAUCCUUUGAAUUUAGUAAUUAGAAAAUUGACUUUAAAGUUUUUGUAAUUAAUACAAAUUUAAUAUAAAUAAUAUAAUCUAUCUAGUAGACUAAUAAUAUUAAAUUAUUUUUAAAAUUUAAAAUAAUAUUAAAAUUUUAAAUUAUUAUAUUUAUUUUAAUAAUAUAUUUGUUUUUACUAUAAAGAUUUUAAAUAAAUCUUUGGGUUAAAUAAAAUUUUCAAUUAACAAAUAAUAUCCCUAUUAAUAAGAUCAAAAUUAUUUUUUACAUAAUAUUCAAAAUAAUUUUAAUUUUUAAUUUUUAAUUUUUUUAAUUUUAAUAUUAUGUUUCUAUUUAUUAUUAAAAAUUACUUUAAUAUAAUAAAAUAGGUCUACUAGAUUGUAAAAUAUUAAAAUAUUUUUUAAAUAUUAAAAUUAAUUUAAAAUGCAUAUAUUAUUACAUUUAUUUUGAUGCCAUAUUUCUAUUUAUUAUAAAAUUUGGGGGUCAAUUUUUUUGGAUUUAUAAAGUCAAAGGAUAUCACCGUCAAAAAGAAAUCUUGGCGUCGAUUAUUGAAAAUUUGGGAGUUUUUGUGACUAUUUCCUCAAACUUUGAGGAUGUAGGUGUUCUUUUUCCCUUAAUUUGAGAAACAAAUUAGUCUCCUUUGAUUUUAAAAUUUGCUUUAUGUGCUGUACUUAAACUUGAUAUAACUCUUAUUUAUAUUAUUAUUAUUAUUGGUCCUUAACGAAAGUCACAUUUUCUUAAAAAAAAGGAAAAGAAAAGAAAAGAUGGAAGAUAUACGGUGGAGAACUUGUAGACUUGAGAGGGCCAGGGUUAAUUAAAAGUCAAGUUGACUUGCACGACUUUCAUGGUAUUGGGAUAAAAGCUAAAGGGAAGCUAGAAGGAAUUUAAUUACAGAUCAACGCAUGCAAUUGCUCUGUUAAAUCUUCAUUUUUUCGAGUAAAAAUAUUGAGAAUUGUUGUUCAUCAUUAUCUGGUGUUGUUGCGAUCGAUGUUUUUGCUAUUAUGGCCAAUCAAAGCAUCAAAAGAUUUAUGCCAAUAUGAUUGUGGGAAUGUCACUAUCAGGUACCCCUUCGGAAUCCGAAAGGGUUGCUAUUUUGAUAAAAGUUUUGAAGUAAUCUGCGAUUACUCUUCUGGCUCCCCAAAAGCUUUUCUUGCGAGCAUCAACAACCUGCAAGUAUUGGACAAUCAUGUUUAUGGUGUAUCCAACAUUAGGGUAAAAAUUCCUGUAAUUUCUUUGAAGAGCAGCAACCUGACGAGCAAUGCUGAAGGGGUCAGUCUUUCAGUUAGCCCUUUUACAUUUUCUCCGUGGGACAAUAGAUUCACAGCCAUAGGUUGCAACAACUAUACUACGAUUAUUAAGCGACAGAAUGAUUCAUCCGUUUUUGGUGGGUGCCUUUCGAUUAGCAAUUGUGAUCCUGCUCUCAACCCUGGUUGCUACGAUUUCCUGUGCGCCCUUCCUCGAAAUAUUACUCAGGUUUCCAAUGCAGAAAUAUCUAGUUUUUAUCCUAAAAGUAUUCCUCAGGAAUGUCACUCUGUUUCCAUUGUUGAAGAAGAUUGGAUCAACUCAAAGUACAUGAAGAAUCCUCACAUUUUGAAAGAUCACGGACAAGUUCCUGCACCGUUGAAGUGGGCUGAGUCUAGAGGAUAUUGUUAUGAAGAAUAUAAUUCGAAAACUACUCGUAACAAGGACAAUAUAUGUUUAAUACAAUUAAGCUCAGACCACUUUUGCCUUUGCAAUAGGGAAACAAGCGUUGGCCCACACCGCCAUGGAUAUUGCUUAGGUACAGUUUCGACUACUAAUUAAAUUAAUUUCAUAUAUGAAGUGUAAUUACUUUAUUUCCUCGAACCAACUACUUAUCUAACACAAAAUUAGAGACGGUAAUUGCAGAAUUCGUAUAUGUAAAGAAGGCAAGAUUUAUGUAUAGCCGUGAUUUAAUUUGAUAUUCUAUUUCAUUUUUUGGGUUUGUUUAGGAGACUUGCUCUGUAAUACCACAAGCCGCGACAAUUGCUCAUCGGAAUGUCUGUUGUGCAAAUUUUAAUGUACUCGCAAGCGCACGAAUCUAUUGUAGUAUAGACUAAUGGUGACGAGUGUCGAUCUCACGAGGAGGUGGAUUUUAAUUGUGUAUAGAACUAAUUUUGUGAAUGGGUGGUUGGAUUUUGUGGUGAAGGGACUUAGAUUAUUCUAAAAUUGGAAUUGAAAUGGCAAGAAUAAAUUGAAGAGAAAUUCUAUUAAAUUGACGCACUUGGGUAUCUGGAUCCGUAUCAACAUGCAUCAUGGGCUAAAUAAUCCGUAUUAAUGCCAAUUAAAUCAUGAGGGGGGAAUCCACACCUCAUGAACCACGCUCUAAUCAAUAUGGUGCUAAGGGCUUAUCGUGCCAAAUAAUAAUAACCUUGUACUAGGGAGCCGGUGAAACCAGGGCGGUACUAGACAAGACUAUUAUUAUUUGUCGACGAGAAGUCAAAACAUCCACAAAAACUAGAGGGGAAAAUAAAAUAAAUUUACUAAAUAAAGCCCAUGACACAUGUUGAGACUUCACCUUCAACCCAAGCUUGGAAGAAAAUUAGCCACUCAUAAUUGAACUAGGGGUAAAAUGGAAAUUUAUUAAAAUACGUAGAAAAUACAAGAUGGAGAAGGAAUUACAGAAAACAGAGUCCAAAAAUGGAUUCAGAGGUGCCAAAUUAGGGAGGGGAGGCCCCCUUUUUAUAGAUAUAUCGAAUAAAUCAUGGCCAUCGGAUUAAAAACAGUUUGGACGCUCAGGAUUGCGCCACGUCAUCAGUCAAUAGUACGCGUGAACAGUACGCGGUUUGACUAUGCGGCUUGAACAGUGACACGGUUUGAACAGUAACAUGGUUUGACCACGGUUUGAACAGUAACGCGGUUUGGUUGAAAAUAAUCCCAUGUGUUGCAUGUACCGUACGCGCAUUUCUUGGUCCACUAAUAUGCUGCCACGUCACCAUCAAUAGUGCAUAAGAAUUUUAGUCUAACAGGAUCAUGACACCUCAUCAGUCAAUGCCACGUCAUCGGUCAAUGCCACGUCAUCGAUCCGUCUAUGUGAACAGUGUCGUGAACAGUAACGUAGACAGUACCCGUACAUGUGAAUAGUACUGUAUAUGUGAACAAUACCAUUUUUCUUUUUAUGCUUCUCCUAAGGUUUUCGACCGUCUUGAGUUAAAAAAUGAUGUCCGUUUUGCCGUUUGAUCUCUCCUUUAUUGUGAAAUGACUAUGAUACCCCUAAAAUACACAAAAUACUUAAUUAAAAUCAAACACACAUAAUUAAAUUACAAAAAACUUAAAUACAUAAAAGUAAAGGUUGUUAGUAAGACUUGAAAUGUAAAAUGACGAUUUUUUCCUUUAUAAAUAUACAUUUUCUAAUACUCAACACACCCCCCAACCAGCUUAUUGCUAGUCCCUAGCAAAUAAAGCGAAAACAAAAUUCAAAUUCAAAAUGAUUUUUUUUUAAUAGAAACACUCGUGUUUAUUCAAUCAGACUAAUGAUAGCAAUCAAAUAAAAGUAUAAGCAUUAUCUCCGGUCUAAAGAAACAUCACACCCACAUUAACUAUCCACAUGAAUCAGCCCAGUAGAUUUUGUUAUAGCUACUUUUAAGAAUGACAUGUCAAACCCCAAAAUCUCACUGGAGGUGGUGACACUCUCAUAAAAAAAUUAAACCCAAUAAAAAUAGUCACUCCAAUGAAUGGUAAUUGAGAGAGAAAAUAAUAAAGGAGUGUUAUCACAUGCUCUCACCAAGAUGAAAGAAAUAUGCCCUCAAAAUGCUAGUCAACCCACUUUAUUUAUCUUUUUUUUUUUCUCUUUUUUUUUAUUAUGCAUCACUACAUCUUUUUCGCCCACAUAACUAGCUUCUACUUUAGAUUAUAGUUCCCUAAAAUCAAGAAGGACUUUUAUUAGGACGUAACGUAGGCUAGGGAUAUGGCUAACAAAGAAAGGAAAUAAGGAAAACAAAGUGUAUGUUUGAGAAAAAAUACAGAAUUUUUUUUUUUGGGAAGUUGCAAGGUAGAUUUAACCUAUUAUUGUUAUUUUUAUUCUUUUGAAACAACAACUUUUGUUUUUUUUUUUUUUUUUGGUUUUUGUUUUUGGUUUUUUUUUUGCUUUUAUUUGGCAUAACUUCACUGAACAACAUAAUUAUUUACAUUUUCUCAAACAUAAAUAGGUGGUGGAACUUAUAAGACAUCGGGUAAUACUCCAAAUUGAAGUGGGUCAAGAUGAUAAGUUGACAAAGAAUUUUUUUUUUUUAAAGGCUCAAAAUGGUUAACUAUGGAUAUUUAAUAAAAGAGAUGGCUAGAAAUGCUCAAACGGAUCAAAGAUGACAUUUUCCAUCGUCUUUUAGGGCUCUAAAUAAUCAUCUAUAUCUACUAGUUAGAUGGGCCUCCCACUGUAGCAACACAUAUAUAUAUAUAUUUUUAAUUUUUUUUUAAAGGGUUAACUCAAAAAGAAUCUAGAGAUCGUGUAUAAAAUAAUAAACUGCUAAGCUGUAUAAAGAAUGGGCAAAAGGGUUACUCUCCAAGAAAAUGAUAGGCUCAACAACUCACUUGGCGCUUAUUUAUGACAUGUUCAUUCCUUCAAGCAACUUAUAUUUGUCUCCGACAUCAACAUGUAAAGUAGCAAACAUGGCGUAACAUCACUUAAGACCAAAGAUAAUACAAAUACUAAAAUUUGAAAUUAAUCAUGUCAUCCAAUGUUAAAACAAAUCACACAAUUUUUUUUUUUUUAAACAACAUUCUACCCCCCAACCUAUUCUAAACAAGAAAGGAAAAUAUGCAUGCAGAAAUGUGAAAAUGAUGCAGAAAAAUUAAUUAGAAAAGUUACAUUUAAAAUGAUAGAAAACGAAAAUGGUUUUUUUUUUUUUUUAACUUAGAAGAUGCGUUUCUAGAGCACUACACUCCAUAUUCAGCCAUCUUCGACUCAAAAAUUUGAAAAUAUAUAUUUAUAAGGAGAAAUUAAAAAGAAGAAGAAAAAUGAACAUCAAAACAUAAUAAAGAAAAAGAAAAUGUCUGAAUUUUUAUUUUUUAAUUUUUUUUAAACAAUGAAGAUGCAUUUCUAGAGUCACUACACUCCAUAUUCAGCCAUCUUCAACACAAAAAGUUAGCAACAGUUAGUUUCUACAACAAAAAAUUAGUAAAAACUUAACCAAAAUUCCACAAUUGUCGACUAUUCUCUCCCCCCAACCAGAACGAAACAUUGUCCUCAAUAUUUGAAAGGAAAGAAGUAGAGUUUAGAAGACAUCACCUGGGUGGUGCAACACAGAAGAAAAUAUUUACAGGCGGAGAGUUAAAUCUAAUUUGUACUUCUUACUGCUGCUACUGUUACCACUAUUAUUUGGUCGCUCCAACACAAAGGUCCAGGGGUUUGGCUCCGGUUUAUAAGCUUGUAAUAGAUCAAGUAGCUCAUUAGUAGUGUGAGCACAAAUAAAAAGUUUUUUUCGCAUGGGAAGUAAUGAAGUAGUUUUUUAUUGCAUGGUUAAGAAAUGCGAUAAAGCCAUCAUAAAAGUUAUUGAUAUUUAACAAACCGAUGAGUUUUUGGUGGAUGUGCAGAUGGGCCCAAGAUGCUAGUGUGAUAAGUGCCUCUAGUGUUGCAAGAUCUCCUGGAAGGAAAAUAAAAGCAUCAGCAUGAUUAAGCAUUUCAGUUAUUCUUUCUUGCAUACCUGAGACGACUAACUCUUCUCCAGUCGAUGAGUCAGACGAACUGCCCAAAGGUUUUAGGGCUCUUGGGAUGAUGCCUAGCACUUAACUUCCUCUGAUAAAAGCUGCUUCUGAGACCAUUUUUGAUAACCCUCGGUUACCUCCUCCAUACACCAAGUGUAAUUUUCUCGCUGCUAUGCUUCGACCAAGAUCUAUGGCUGCCUUCACAAACUCUUUAUGUUUUCCAUAGGUAAAUCCAGAAAGCACACAAAUGUUCUUGAAUUGUCUAUUGGGAGAAGCUGCCAUUGGGAUACUUCUAAAAAAUAAUUUGUGAGUGUUUGACAAAAGAAAUCACAUUUAAGAGUCUUGGUGACAGUGGGUCACAACUGUGAAUGAGGUAACAUGUCAAUGUCAAAUAACGCGUAAAGCACAUGGCUCGCGAGUCAAAAAAGAAACAGUAAAAAGGAAAAAGUAAACAAUAAUAAAAUUAUUAAAGACAAUAAUGCAAACAAUAAAACAACAGUGAAAUGAUAUAAAAUAACAGUAAAGUAAAAGGAUAUUUACACGUAGUUGCGACUGUGGCUCACAUCUUCCUCUGGUUUUACGUCCAGAAACGGCUUGAACGCCCUCUAUGGGUCGAGGAUGGGCUUCCCAUCCAGUUUUCUUAUAAACUGGCAAACAGGGUCGUUUAUAGUCAGAUUCCCAAGACUAUAUCGUGCAUGCUCUUUUUGGAAUAAUGGCCAUAACUGGAGAAUCGCUCCUUGCACAUAGCCACUGUGAUGCGUUUCAAGAGACAAAAGGAUAUCAUCCAAUGACUCCUUAUUCAAGCCAUCCCUAAUGAAUUGAAUCUUAUCUUCCCUGUUAUCAGACACCAUUCCUAAAGAACAUGGGUUUUUAUCGCAUCUCAUUCUGGCACACUUAUGACAAGAAACAGAAAUUCUUCGAGCUCGUCGUUUUCUUGCAUAAUUUCCUUUACCACAACCAGGCAUGUAUGCAAUAUAUUUUGGAGGUAACUCACCUGCCAAUCAUACUUUAGCCUCGAUUAACCAACAUAUGUCUGCAGGUAUGUUAUUCCUCAUGAGUAAUCGCAUGCGUUCGGACCGAGCUUUAUAGAUCGUACGAAGGGCAUUCUGAGGAAGUGAAGGGAAUCGCUUGUGAAGCUUCGCUAGAAUCUCGUUUCUGUCUAUACUUUCGCCUCAAAAUAUCAGUUAUUAUGGGAAACUGAAGUAACCGACUUGAUUGUCACGGAGUACCGUUAUCCGCCACUUCACCGGGGUAACAAACUAAAGCACACAAACAGAAAAACAAAUCAAAACACACAAAGAAAAUUAAAAUCGUUCUCUUAUUGAAUUUACCUCAAGCUCCAACUGGAUUUCGUAAACACUUCUCUCAAUAUCUCUAAGUUGGCUUUCUAAACCCUCAACAUAGGCUACUAACUCUGGUGGUUGUAGAGCCCAAAUACGAUGUGUUUUACAAAAUUGAAUCUGCCUUUUGAGAUGAGUUUUGACACGUUGAAGUAGUUUAAGAAUGUUCAGGAGGAACGGUCUAAGUAUGAGACUCAUGAUUAACAAUGAUAAGAGAAAACUUAAUAGUUAAACAAACACACUUAUGCAAAAAUAAUUUCAAUUAGCAAAAUAAUAUAAAGAAAGAAAGAAAAAUCAAAUCAACGAAAAGAAAAAAAAAUCAAUUCAAAUCUGGUGGGUCACUCAAAUUUAUUUCGGUGUCUUCUCCAUGUGGUUGGUUUUCUAGAUAUGGCUUUAAUCUUUGACCAUUAACUUUGAACGUGACACCGUUCUUUGGGUCCUUAAUUUUAAUUGCCCCAUGUGGAAAAAUAGUAUGAACAAUAAAUGGGCUAGACCAACGAGAGCGUAACUUACCUGGGAAUAGGUGUAAGCGAGAAUUGAAUAAAAGCACUUUCUGACCUGGAGUGAACGAUUUUCUCAUAAUUUGCUUGUCAUGAAAGACUUUCAUUCGUUGCUUGUAAAUCUUGGCAUUUUCGUAUGCAUCAUUGCAAAUUUCUUCAAGUUCUGCCAGUUGUAAUCUUCUUUCUGAGCUGGCUUGCUGCAUGUCAAAGUUGAAUUUCUUGAUGGCCCAAUACGCACGAUGCUCGAGUUCCACAGGUAGGUGGCAAGCUUUUCCAUACACUAGUCUGUAGGGUGACAUCCCAAUCGGGGUCUUGAAAGCCGUUCUAUAUGCCCAUAAUGCAUCAUCAAGUCUUAAUGACCAAUCUUUUCUGUCUGGCCUCACCGUCUUUUUCUAAUAUGUGCUUUAUUUCUCGAUUGGAGAUCUCAACUUGGCCACUGGUUUGCGGAUGAUAUGGGGUCGCCACUUUGUGAGUGAUGGAAUACUUUGUCAAAAGAGUUUUGAAUCCUUUGUUACAAAAGUGGGUACCACCAUCACUUAUUAUUGCUCGAGGGAAUCCAAAGCGCGAAACAAUGUUGCUUUUCAAAAAUUCUAUGACGACCUUAUGAUCAUUGGUUCUGCAUAGGAUUGCUUCUACCCAUUUUGAGACGUAGUCAACAGCAACCAAUAUGUAUUGAUGGCUAAAAGACGGGGGAAAGGGUCCCAUGAAGUCGAUACCCCAUACGUCAAAAAUCUCAACCACUAAAAUUAGAUUUAGUGGCAUCAUGUUUCUUCAUGUAAUGCUCCCCAUUCGUUGACACCUAUCACAUGAAGAACAGAAAGUGUAAGCAUCUCGAAAUAUAGUUGGCCAAUAGAAACCACAUUGUAAAACUUUAGUCGCUGUUUUCUUAGCACUGAAAUGGCCUCCACAAGCUUGUUCAUGGCAGAAUGAAAUGAUAUUUUGAAUUUCACUUUCUAGGACACAUCGUCUAACAAUUUGAUCUGCACAAUACUUGAACAAAUACGGGUCAUCCCAAAAGAAAUUCUUUAUCUCUGCAAAGAAUUUAGCCUUGUCUUGCUUGGUCCAAUGUUCUGGAAGUUGACCUGUCACAAGAUAAUUAACGAUAUCAGCAUACCAAAGUAAUACUUCUACAUUCAUUAAUUGUUCAUCUGGAAAUGACUCAUUCAAUGGUAAUGAUUCUGUAAUUGUGUCAAAAUGGAGACGAGAGAGAUGGUCCGCCACGACAUUUUCUGUGCCUUUCUUAUCUUUAAAUUCCAAGUCGAACUCCUGCAAAAGUAACACCCAACGAAUUAGUCUAGCUUUUGCAUCUUUCUUUGUGAGAAGAUAUUUAAGAGCAGCAUGAUCUGUGAAUAUAAUUAUUUUACAACCAAUGAGAUAAGACCGAAAUUUCUCUAAUGCAAACACUACUGCUAGCAUCCCUUUUUCAGUAGUUGAAUAGUUCAACUGUGCAUCAUUCAAUGUCAUACUAGCAUAAUAAAUAACAUGGGGAAUUCGAUUAACUCUUUGUCCUAAUACUGCUCCUACUGCAUAAUCAGAUGCAUAACACAUAAGCUCAAAUGGUAAGCUCCAAUUUGGGGGCUGAAUGAUGGGUGAUGAUGUCAACAACUGCUUUAGUUUUUCAAAUGCCACAAGACAUGAAUCAUUAAAGACAAAAGGUACAUCCUUAGCAAGUAGAUUGCAUAAGGGUUUAGAAACUUUGCUAAAAUAUUUAAUAAAACUUCUAUAAAAACCAGUAUGCCCAAGGAAAGAUCUUACUUCUCUGACUAUUUUGGGAGGAGGAAGAUUAGAAAUGAGAUCCACCUUGGCUUUGUCAAACUCAAUACCUUUGCUCGAAAUGAUGUGACCGAGAACAAUACCUUGUUUUACCAUAAAAUGACAUUUCUCCCAAUUUAAGACCAAGUUCUUCUCGAUACAUCUCUGCAGAACUAAUGUUAGAUGAUGUAAACAUUGAUUAAACGAGUCACCAAAGACAGAAAAGUCAUCCAUAAAGACUUCAAGGAAUCGUUCAACCAUAUUAGAAAAAAUGCUCAACAUGCAUCGUUGAAAUAUAGCAGGUGCAUUACAUAAUCCAAAUGGCAUCCUCCUAUAUGCAAAUGUGCCAAAAGGGCAAGUGAAAAUGGUUUUCUCUUGAUCUUUUGGUGCUAUGGGGAUCUGAUUAUAUCCUGAGUAGCCAUCUAGAAAGCAAUAAAAUUCAUGGCCUGCUAAUCUAUCAAGCAUUUGAUCAAUAAAUGGUAAAGGAAAAUGGUCUUUACAUGUGACAGACUUCAACUUUCUAUAAUCAAUGCAUACACGCCAUCCUGUAGUUACUCUAGUGGGUAUCAAUUCAUUAUCAGCAUUCGUAACUACUGUGACUCCUGACUUUUUGGGGACAACUUGCACAGGACUGACCCAUGAACUAUCAGAAAUUGGGUAAAUGAUACCUGCAUCUAAUAGCUUAAGGACUUCAGUUCUAACCACUUCUUUCAUAUUAGGAUUUAACCGACGUUGCAUUUCCCUAGUAGAUUUAGCAUUUUCAUCAAGGUGAAUGUAAUGCAUGCAAUCUGCAGGGUUUAUACCUUUUAUGUCUGCUAUGGUCCAUCCUAAUGCCCCUUUGUGCUCUUUCAAAACAUCCAACAACUUACCUUUUUGCUCGUCAUUGAGGGAUGAUGAGAUGAUUACCGGUAGAGUGCUUUCUUCUCCCAAAAAUGCAUAUUUCAAUGUGUUGGGUAAUGGUUUGAGCUCGAGUUUCAGUGGUGAUUCUGAUGAUGGAAUGAGUUUCUUCUCUGAUGGUGCUAAUUGUUCAACUCUUGACUUCCAUUUAUUAGUGUCCAUGGAUGGUGUAGAGUCAAGUAGGGCGUUGACCUCAUCGACCGAUCUGUCAAAAUCAAAAUUUAAACCAAAGUGAGUUAAGCAUGUCUGUAAAGGAUCAUCACUAAGGUUUGAAACAAAAGAGUCAUCAACUAAUGCUUCAAUUAAAUCCACAUCAACAAUUCCAUCAUCUGCAUUGUGAGGUUGUUUGGCAAUGUUGAAAAUGUUUAGCUCCAUAGUCAUGUUGCCGAAGGACAAUUGCAUAUUUCCAGUCCUACAUUGAAUGUGAGCAUCCGCAGUUGCCAAGAAAGGUCGGCCUAGAAUAAUGGGGAUGUGCUUCCUCGAAUCAUGUAUUGGUUGAGUGUCAAUUACAAUGAAAUCAACAGGAAAAUAAAACUUGUCUAUCUGGAUAAGCACAUCCUCCACAAUACCACGAGGUAUUUUCGUGGACCGAUCUGCAAGCUGUAACACCACUGGAGUUGGGUGUAAUUCUCCCAGUCCAAGUUUCACAAAAACAGAAUAAGACAACAGAUUUACACUAGCUCCUAAAUCCAACAAAGCAUUCUCAAUUGUGUGGUUCCCUAUACUACAUGAGAUAGUGAGGGAGCCUGGGUCUUUGCAUUUUAGAGGAAUUUUGUGUUGGAGUAUAGAACUAACAUUUUCUGUUAAAAAUGCCUUCUUUUGAACAUGAAUGUUUCUCUUUUUAGUACAAAGGUCUUUAAGAAACUUGGCAUACGAUGGAACUUGUUUAAUAGCAUCAAGCAAAGGAAUGUUAACACUUACCUGUUUGAAGAUCUCAAGAAUCUCACCUGUGGAUUUUCCCUUUUUUCCUUUAGUUAACCUCUGAGGAAAUGGAGCUUUUGGAACGUAUUCUCGUGGGUUGGUUUCUUCUUUUUCCUCCGGUGGUGAGCCCUCAACAUUCAUAGGUACAAUUUGAUUUUCUUUUGUCACGGGCAUCUCCACUUUGUUGUCGACUUCUUUUCCUUUUCACAAGGUCAUGACUGCUUUGACCUCUCCAUGCUGCUGUAGUGAACUGGUACUUGCUUCAUGCACUCCUUUAGGAUUAGGUACUGGUUGACUUGGAAAUUUGCCUUUCUCAACAGUCAUUGCCAAGGUCUGAACUGAAGAAGCAAGUUGUCCCACCAUCUUUUCGAGGCUUGAAACUGAUUGGGCUUGUGAAUUGAAGCCUGCUCUCAACUCAUUUCGUAGUCCAUCAAUGGUGCGGUUUUGUUACUCAAUUGUGGAGUGAGUAACAUUCUUGAAAUUCUGGAAUGCAUCCUCCCAUGGUCUGGGUUGAGAGUAGUUUUGGUUCUGAUUGAAUGAUCUAAAUGGGGGCUGAGAGGCUUGAGGAACUUGAGGAAUUUGUUGCAUUGGUGGAGUUGGAGCUGCUGGUCCAUUAUAUUGGAAUCCUUGAGACCAUGAAAAAUUGGGGUGGUCUCUCCAUCCAGGAUUAUAUGUGUUGGAGUAUGAGUUGUAAUUUGAUGGCUUUCUCAUUACACCUAUGGCAUUGGCUUGAUCUGAGUAUGAGUCAUGGUCAUGUGGUUCUGUUGAUUUAGCAGUCGAUAACGAUGCUAUUUGUCGAGCAAGACCUUCAACCAUCUCCUUGACUUCUUUGAUUCCCGAAGUUGACUCGCCAAUGUGAACCUCAUUUACUCCUUUAAUUCUUCUAGUAUUCCUGAGUGAUCGACUCCGUUGUUAGGAGUUAUCUGCUUGUCGCUGGAAGAAUUCCCAGAUUUCUGAUGCACUUUUUGACAUUAGCUCUCCUCCACUUGUUGCCAUUAGCCAUUCUUGCACAUUUGGUAGUAAUCCCUCCAAAAAGUAUUGGCAUUGAUGCCAUUUCUCAUACCCAUGAUGUGGACACUUCAAGAGUAGCCCAUUGAAUCGCUCCCAAUCUUUGCGUAAACUGCUCGUCCUCUCUUUGAGUAAACUCUGAGAUUUCCCUGCGAAUAGCAUUGGUUUUAUGCACUGGGAAAUAUUUAUUUAAAAAUUUUGUUACCAUUUGUUCCCAUGAUGCAAUGCUAUUGGUAGGUAAAGUAUUUAACCAUGAACGAGCUCUAUCCUUUAAAGAAAAUGGGAAUAAUCUGAGUUUAACAUCAUCGUCUGAAAAAUUUUCAUAUUUAAAAGUUUGACAAAUUGCAUGAAAAUCAUUCAGAUGAUUAUAUGGGUCCUCAUUUUCUAGGCUAUAAAAUGUUGGGAGACAAUUUAACACACUGGGUUUUAAUUCAAAACUCCUAGCAGCUACAUUUGGGUAUCUUAUGCAUGAUGUGCUCAAAUUAGCUAAGGGACUAAAAUAGUCCUUAAAUGGCCUCUCAUGUGGUGCUUGUAAAUCCAUUUUAUUUUUAAAAGGUUUGUGUGUGCGAAGUGUUUUUUCUAAUUCAAGGUUUAUAAGUUCAAGAUUAGGUAAUAAUGACCUACGACCAUGCAUGCAAAACAAAUUAAAAAAAAUAAUAAAGAUGGGAACAACACAAAUAAAAAUAAAGAAGAGGGAGAAAUUACGAUACUAACCUUAUUGCGCUAUUACAACAUUUCUAUAAAAAUACACAAAAACAAAUACGUGAAAUUAACUAAAAAUUAAAUUAAAAUUUAAUAAAGAAAAUUAAAUUAAGAUAAACAAAAAUUACAAAGAAAAAUAAUAUAAAAAUUAAAUUUCAGAAUUGUAAAGAAUAGAGAAAGAAAAGAAAUACUAACAUCUAAAUGCAGAUUCACUUUUUUUUUUCUUUUUUUUCUUAAUAAUUAAAAAAAAUACAAGAUAACAAAUAAAAGAAAUUAUUCACAAAAAUUAAUUUUAUGAAUUUACUUACCUCUCCGGCAACGGCGCCAAAAACUUGUUGUGCAAAUUUUAAUGUACUCGCAAGCGCACGAAUCUAUUGUAGUAGAGACUAAUGGUGACGAGUGUCGAUCCCACGAGGAGGUGGAUUUUAAUUGUGUAUAGAACUAAUUUUGUGAAUGGGUGGUUGGAUUUUGUGGUGAAGGUGACUUAGAUUAUUCUAAAAUUGGAAUUGAAAUGGCAAGAAUAAAUUGAAGAGAAAUUCUAUUAAAUUGACGCACUUGGGUAUCUGGAUCCGUAUCAACAUGCAUCAUGAGCUAAAUAAUCCGUAUUAAUGCCAAUUAAAUCAUGAGGGGGGAAUCCACACCUCAUGAACCACGCUCUAAUCAAUAUGGUGCUAAGGGCUUAUCGUGUCAAAUAAUAAUAACCUUGUACUAGGGAGCCGGUGAAACCAGGGCGGUACUAGACAAGACUAUUAUUAUUUGUCGACGAGAAGUCAAAACAUCCAUAAAAACUAGAGGGGAAAAGAAAAUAAAUUUACCAAAUAAAGCCCAACACAUGUUGAGACUUCACCUUCAACCCAAGCUUGGAAGAAAAUUAGCCACUCAUAAUUGAACUAGGGGCAAAAUAGAAAUUUAUUAAAAUACGUAGAAAAUACAAGAUGGAGAAGAAAUUACAGAAAACAGAGUCCAAAAAUGGAUUCAGAGGUGCCAAAUUAGGGAGGGGAGGCCCCCUUUUUAUAGAUACAUUGAAUAAAUCAUGGCCAUCAGAUUAAAAACAGUUUGGACGCUCAGGAUUGCGCCACGUCAUCAGUCAACAGUACGCGUGAACAGUACGCGGUUUGACUAUGCGGCUUGAACAGUGACACAGUUUGCACACGGUUUGAACAGUAACACAGUUUGACCACGGUUUGAACAGUAACGCGGUUUGGUUGAAAAUAAUCCCAUGUGUUGCAUAUACCGUACGCGCAUUUCUUGGUCCACUAAUAUGCUGCCACGUCACCAUCAACAGUGCAUAAGAAUUUUAGUCCAACAGGAUCAUGACACCUCAUCAGUCAAUGCCACGUCAUCGGUCAAUGCCACGUUAUCGAUCCGUCUAUGUGAACAGUGCCGUGAACAGUAACGUAGACAGUACCCAUACAUGUGAAUAGUACCGUAUAUGUGAACAGUACCAUUUUUCCUUUUAUGCUUCUCCUAAGAUUUUCGACCGUCCUGAGUUAAAAAAUUAUGUCCGUUUUGCCGUUUAAUCUCUCCUUUAUUGUGAAAUGACUAUGGCACCCCUAAAAUACACAAAAUACUUAAUUAAAAUCAAACACACAUAAUUAAAUUACAAAAAGCUUAAAUACAUAAAAGUAAAGGUUGUUAGUAAGACUUGAAAUGUAAAAUGACGAUUUUUUCCUUUAUAAAUAUACAUUUUCUAAUACUCAACAAUGUCCCAAAGGUUACUUUUCAAAUCCGAGCGUUGGAUACUGCGACCAAAAUCUGAGUAUGCACAAAAAUUCUCUCAAAUUCAUUAUUAUAGGUAAGUAUUGGAAUUUACAGAUUUUAUCGACAGAAUAACUUACCCCAUAUAAAGAGGCUCACAAACUUAACAGACUAAACAGUUCCUUGGCAUAAAUCACCUCGAACGUGCAUUAAAUAUUCUUGGCCUAGAGUGUUGCAGGUUGCAGUAGUGGGCUUGGAAUGUUGUUCUUACUAAUUGGAACAUGGUGGUUAUACAAGUUCGUUAAAAGAAGAAGAGAAACCAAGCUCAAUGUUGCGGACCGCCCAAUUCACUAGCCCAAUUGCCCACAAUUUCGGGCUAGAGAGCCAACACAAGGCCAAGAGUGCUAGCUUGGCCCAAUUCCAGAAGAUUCUAGGAAACUCUAGCACAUGUGAGCUUGUAAAUACUCUAGAAUUCUCUAUGACUUUCCAGCACAUGUAAAUUCUAGAUAGUGGGUAGAAUUCUCUAGAAUCUCUAGAGCUUGGCAAGCCUCCCCUAUAAAUAUGGGAUGGCAUUAGGCAUUUGUAUCCAACAAGCUUUGUAAGCAACUCAAGCAUUGUAUUCUCUCUUUGUGCAAUACAAGUUUUCUUCUUUGGCUCAAUUGCUCUCUUCUCUAGUUCGAGAAGCUCUAGGCUUACUUAGCAACAUUCGACAAAGUUGUCUAAGUGCCGCACGGGUUAGCUGCGCAAAACACUCAUCCCGUGACAAGUGGUAUCAGAGCUAAGGUUUGCACGCACGCAAAUUAGCUCACGAAGCAAUGGCCAACCCUUCGAACGUAGCACAAGAGGAUGUUGUUAGUGUGGAUGUUCCACCGGAACCAAGCCACGGCCGAGAGGGAGAUCGCGCCCAAGGCAAGACUCGCGGCAAGUCCAAGGCCCCAUCCAUGGAUGCGUUGGAGCCUCGUAUGGGUACUCUCGAAAUUGCAUUGUCCGCCGCUCAAGAAAGCCUCGAGGGAUUGGAGGAAUGAGUGGACGGACUCGAGGGAGAAUACGCCGAAUUCACGGUGGCAACCAAAGCUCUCAUCCAAGAGCAAGCGAACACUCUUCGAGGUGAGUUUCGUUCUUUCCAUGAUGAGUUGCUAAAACUUCGUGGUUUUGUUCAGGAUGAACUACGCGCUGUCCGUGCGGAAGUGGAUGAAGUCCGCUCGGAUUGGGCAUGGCGCAAGCGCACACUCUCCUCAAGUCCAGCUUCCGCAAACUCGAGUGAUGCGCGCCGCAUUGAUGUGCCAAAGCCUGACACCUACGAUGGCACACGCAACGCCACAAUCGUGGACAACUUCCUAUUCGGGCUGGAUCAAUACUUUGAUGCCAUGGGUGUCCAAGAUGAGGCAUCGAGAGUGGGCACUGCACCCACCUAUCUUAGAAGCGCUGCACAACUAUGGUGGCAUCGCAAGCAUGGCGAGAUGGGCAAGGGCAUUUGCACCAUCGACACUGGGGCCGACUUCAAGCAAGAACUCUGAAAGCAGUUCACCCCAAGCAAUGCGGAGAAGGAAGUGCGAACGCGCUUACGUCGCCUCAAGCAAUCGGGUAGCAUUCGGGAUUACAUCAACGAGUUCAUUACCCUCAUGUUGGAGAUAAGCGACAUGUCUGACAAGGAUUUGCUCUUCUACUUUCAAGAUGGCCUCAAGGAUUGGGCCAAGACUGAGCUCGAUAGGCGUGGCGUACAAACACUUGACGAUGCCAUUGCCGUUGCGGAGUCGCUCACCGAAUACUCUACCCAAUCCAAGGACAAAAAGGCCAACCAAGACAAAGGUGGGGGAGAGAGUCGCAAGGACAAGAGCAACAACCGCAAAGAUUGGGGGCAGAAAAAGCCGCGGGUGUUGUGCACCAUAGUCGCCAUGCUUGCGAUGCCACCAUAGUUGUGCAGCGCCUCUAAGAUAGGUGGGUGCAGUGCCCACUCUCGAUGCCUCAUCUCGGACACCCAUGGCAUCAAAGUAUUGAUCCAGCCCGAAUAGGAAGUUGGGCAAGGGCAUUUGCACCAUCGACACUUGGGCCGACUUCAAGCAAGAACUCCGAAAGUAGUUCACCCCAAGCAAUGCGGAGAAGGAAGCGCGAGCGCGCUUACGUCACCUCAAGUAAUUGGGUAGCAUUCGGGACUACAUCAACGAGUUCACUACCCUCAUGUUGGAGAUAAGCGACAUGUUUGACAAUGAUUCGCUCUUCUACUUUCAAGAUGGCCUCAAGGAUUGGGCCAAGACUGAGCUCGAUAGGCGUGGCGUACAAACACUUGACGAUGCCAUUGCCGUUGCGGAGUCGCUCACCGAAUACUCUACCCAAUCCAAGGACAAAAAGGCCAACCAAGACAAAGGUGGGGGAGAGAGUCGCAAGGACAAGAGCAACAACCGCAAAGAUUGGGGGCAGAAAAAGCCGCCUAGCAACAAGAGCGGGCAAGGAAAAUCGGAGGGCAAAAAGGAGGCGCCAAAGCCGCGAAGUCCAUGCUUCAUAUGCAAUGGUCCUCAUUGGGUACGCGACUGUCUGGAGAAAAGGUUGCUCAACGCUCUUGCUGCCCAACUCAAGAGUAACCCUACAAUGUCCACGGAGGAACCCCAACUCAGCAUGGGUUCUCUCCAACGCCUCGGCGCACUCAAUCGCCAACAGCCCGCACUCGUCAAGAAAGGGCUCAUGUAUGUUAGCGCAAAGGUAAACGGCCGGUCCGUUCGUGCGCUGCUAGACACGGGAGCAACGCACAACUUCGUGUCCGUAGACGAGGCCAAGCGCUUAGGCCUCAAGGCCACCAAGGAAGGAGGCACAAUGAAGGCUGUGAACUCACCCGCCAAGCCAAUUGCGGGAAUUGCACAAGGCGUGCACAUCACACUCGGUACGUGGAGCGGAAAGCUUGACUUCUCCAUUGUGCCCAUGGAUGACUUCAAGAUGGUCCUCGGCAUGGAAUUCUUCGACCAAGUCCAUGCCUUCCCGUUGCCUGCUACAAACUCCCUAAGCAUCCUUGGACGGGAGUAAGGCAUGCAUGGUUCCCACAGAACGAGGCAAGUCCGAGGAGAAGACACUCUCCACCAUGCAGUUCAAAAAGGCUUUCAAGAAGGACCCAAGCUUCUUGGUCUCUAUUCGGGAACUAAAUGAGGAAGGAAAUAGCGGAACGUCGCCAAGCCAAGUCCCUUCGCGAAUUCAAGCUGUCCUCGAUGAGUACAAGGAAGUGAUGCCUCCAGAACUUCCGAAGAAGCUCCCACCCCGACGAGAGGUAGAUCAUGCAAUCGAGCUGGAACAAGGCGCGAAGCCACCAGCCUUGGCGCCCUACAGCAUGGCGCCACCCGAAUUAGAGCAGUUGCGGAGACUACUCAAAGACUUGCUGGACGCAGGCUACAUUCGCGCCUCAAAGGCCCCAUUCGGUGCACCCGUGCUCUUCCAAAAGAAAAAGAAUGGAUCGUUACGGAUGUGCAUCGACUAUAGAGCGCUCAACAAGAUCACCAUCAAGAACAAGUAUCCGAUUCCAUUGAUUGCAGACUUGUUCGACCAGCUUGGCAAAGCGCGGUACUUCACCAAACUUGACUUGCGCUCUGGGUACUACCAAGUGCGCAUCGCCAAGGGAGACGAACCAAAGACAGCGUGCACAACAAGGUACGGGUCUUUCGAAUUCCUUGUGAUGCCUUUUGGCCUUACUAAUGCACCCGCCACAUUUUGCACACUCAUGAACAAGGUGCUCCAACCAUUCCUCGACCGCUUCGUGGUCGUGUACUUGGAUGACAUAGUGGUGUAUAGCACCACGCUCGAGGAUCAUGCCCAACACUUGCGACAAGUCCUCAAAGUACUUCGAGACAAUGAACUCUUCCUCAAACUAGAGAAGUGCUCGUUUGCCCAACAAGAGGUGGAGUUCCUUGGCCACAAGAUUGCGGGUGGGAAGAUCAUGAUGGAGAAUGACAAAGUAAAGGCCAUCCUCGAUUGGGAGCCUCCCUCGAAAGUGCUCGAGCUUCGCUCGUUCCUUGGGUUGGUGAAUUACUACCACUGCUUCAUCAAGGGCUAUUCAGCUAAGGUGGCAUCCUUGACAGAUAUGCUCAAGAAAAACAGAACGUGGCAAUGGUCCGAAGAGUGCCAACGCGCAUUUGAGGAGUUGAAGAAGGCAAUUUCGGAGGAACCAGUCCUCGCUCUUCCGGACCACACCAAGCCCUUCGAAGUUCAAACGGAUGCCUCGGAUUUCGCCAUAGGUGGAGUCCUUAUGCAAGAAGGCCACCCAAUAGCGUUCGAGAGUCGAAAGCUAAAUGACACAGAACGCCGCUACACGGUGCAAGAAAAGGAGAUGACUGCAAUCAUACAUUGCUUGUGGGUGUGGCGACAUUACUUGCUUGGCUCGCACUUUACGAUUAUGACGGAUAACGUGGCGACAAGCUACUUUCAAACUCAGAAGAAGUUGAGUUCGAAGCAAGCACGGUGGCAAGAUUUUCUUGCGGAAUUCGACUAUCGGCUAGAGUACAAACCGGGGAAAGCCAAUGUCGUUGCGGACGCUCUAAGCCGCAAGGCAGAAUUGGCAACACUUAGCAUGAGCCAACCGAAGUCCGACCUUGUCUCACGCAUCAAGGAAGGCCUCCAACAAGAUCCGCUAGCAAAGGAUUUGCUGGAGAAGGUGCUCGAGGGAAAGACAAGGCAAUUUUGGCAAGAGGAAGGCAUCCUCCUCACCAAGGGAGAUCGGCUGUUCGUGCCAAGGUGGGGAAACUUGCGAAAGGAAGUAAUCAAGGAGUGCCACGACUCCAAGUGGGCUGGUCACUUAGGAAUCGAGCGCACCACCGCACUAGUCCAAGCCUCGUAUUUUUGGCCGCACAUGAGGGACGAUAUUGAGGCAUAUGUACGAACUUGUCUCAUGUGGCAACAAGACAAGGUGGAUCAUCAACUUCCAGCAGGAUUAUUGGAGCCGCUACCGCUAGCAACAAGGCCAUGGGAAAGUGUCUCCAUGGACUUCAUCAAAUCACUGCCCAAGUCUGAAGGUUGCGGAAGCAUCAUGGUCGUUGUCGACCGAUACAGUAAAUACGCCACAUUCAUUGCCGCACCCGUCGAUUACAAAGCGGACGAGGCAGCCCGCCUAUUCGUCAAGCACAUUGUGAAGCUUUGGGGAGUAUCGAAGAGCAUUGUGAGCGACCGAGGCCCUCGGUUCACUGGACGCUUUUGGACGGAGCUCUUCAAGAUGUUGGGGACUGAUCUCAAGUUCUCAACAAGCUUCCACCCACAAACGGAUGGGCAGACCGAGUGGAUUAAUGGCCUCCUCGAGAUGUACCUGAGGCAUUAUGUGAGCGCUCACCAGCGGGAUUGGGCGAAGCUACUCGACAUUGCCCAAUUUUCCUAUAACUUGUAGCGAAGCGAGGCUACGGGCAAGAGUCCGUUCGAGAUCAUCAUGGGAUUCCAGCCAAUGACUCCCAACACCAUAGCCUCGACUUACGGAGGGAAAAGCCCCGCGGCACACAAGCUCGCCCGCGAAUGGCAUGAGGAAGCGGACAUCACGCGAGCCUACCUAGACAAAGCCGCGAGGAAAAUGAAGAAAUGGGCGGAUACAAAGAGACGGCAUGUUGAGUACAAGGAAGGUGAUCAAGUCAUGAUCAAACUCCUACCCCAACAGUUCAAGACUUUGCGGAAAGUUCACAAGGGGUUAGUGAGGCGCUACGAGGGACCUUUCCGAGUUGUUCGACGUGUGGGCAACGUCUCGUAUCAACUCCAACUUCCGCCAAGACUCAAGAUCCAUCCGGUCUUCCAUGUGAGCCUUCUUAAGCCAUAUCACGAAGACAUGGGAGAACCAAGUCGCGGAGAAUCGAGGCGCGCGCCAACUGCCGUUGUCACCGCGUUCGACAAAGAUGUAGACUACAUCAUUGCGGACCGCACGGUUUCGAGGAGGGGCGUGCCGGCACAUAGCGAGUACUUGGUGAAGUGGAAAAACCUCCCCGAGAGCGAAGCCACUUGGGAACGUGAAGAUGAAUUGUGGCAAUUCGCUGAGCACAUCCAAUGCUUCAAGCAUGAGAGCGCGACGAGGACGCCGCGAGCUUAGGUAGGGGAGGAUGUUGCGGACCGCCCAAUUCACUAGCCCAAUUGCCCACAAUUUCGGGCUAGAGAGCCAACACAAGGCCAAGAGUGCUAGCUUGGCCCAAUUUCGGAAGAUUCUAAGAAACUCUAGCACAUGUGAGCUUGUAAAUACUCUAGAAUUCUCUAUGACUUUCCAGCACAUGUAAAUUCUAGAUAGUGGGUAGAAUUCUCUAGAAUCUCUAGAGCUUGGCAAGCCUCCCCUAUAAAUAUGGGAUGGCAUUAGGCAUUUGUAUCCAACAAGCUUUGUAAGCAACUCAAGCAUUGUAUUCUCUCUUUGUGCAAUACAAGUUUUCUUCUUUGGCUCAAUUGCUCUCUUAUAUUGUGACAGAACAUGCUAUAUAUUCUGCUUCCAUAGUCGACAGAGCCGUGCAUGUUUGCUUCUUGCUACUCCACGAGAUCGCACUGCGACUAAGUAGAAAUAUGUAUCUUGAGGUUGAUUUGCACUCAUCAAGAUCGCCUCCCCAAUCGGCAUCUGUGUAUCCAAUUUAGCGUAAAUCACCUCCUUGAUGACAUAAAGAAUAGUCGGCAGUGCUUUUCAGAUAUGCUAAAAUCCUUUUGACAACAUUCCAUUGUUUGCGCCCAUGAUUUGAUUGGUAUAUGCUUACCAACCCCAUAGCAUAACAAAUAUCUGGCCUUGUACACAUCAUAGCGUACAUGAGACUUCCAACAACAUUAGAGUAUGAAACUCGUGUCAUUUCAUUUCAUUCCUUUGAAGUCUUUGGACACAUUUCAAGGCUAAGAGUUUGUCUUUUAGAGAUGGGUGUAUCCAUAAGUUUACACUUAUCCAUUUAAAAUUUUUCAAGAAUUCUUCUAAUAUAAGACUCUUGUGACAGAGCUAGAAGUUUUCUAGAACGAUCCCUAUAGAUUUUAACUCCCAAGAUAUAAGAUGGUUCACCAAUAUCUUUCAUUUCAAAGUUUAAAAAUAACCAUUCCUUGAUGGUUUGAACAAACUCUAUAUUAUUUCCAACCAACAAUAUAUCAUCCACAUAUAACGAUAAGAUGAAAAAGUUACCCUCUAACCUUUUAACGUAUACACAAUGAUCUUCUUCAGUCAUUGAGAAUCCAUAAGUCAUCACAUAUUCAUGAAACCUAAGAUACCAUUACUUGGAGGAUUGUUUUAACCCAUAUAUAGACUUUUUGAGCUUGCAAACUUUGUGCUCUUGAUCAUUGGUUAUAUAACCAUCUGGUUGUUCCAUAUAAAUUUCCUCCUUUAGCUCUCCAUUGAGAAAAACUGUUUUAACAUCCAUUUGAUGUAAUUCAAGAUCCAUAUGUGCAAUGAUGGCUAAAAUUAAUCUUAUAGAGGCAAACCUUACCACUGGGGAAAAAGUUUCCUUAUAGUCUAUACCCUCUUGUUGGUUAUAUCCUUUCACUAACAAGCAUGCCUUAUAUCUUUCAAUUGUGUUAUUUGCCUUUCGUUUAACAUGUAAAACCCAUUUGUUUCCAAUGGCCUUACGAUAGGCCGGUAGAUCAACCAAGUUCCAGACGUGGUUUGAUCUCAUUGACUUCAUUUCUUCAUCUAUUGCUUUAAUCCACAAUUCCUUAGCUGAUGAUGUGAUAGCCUCUGAUAAGUGCAUAUUUUCCAUAUAUUUUGCUUUUAAUUUCUCCAUCUUUUUCCUGUUUUGAUCUUAAAUAUUCUAGUUAUUUUAGUUAAUUUUUAAUUUAAUAGGGAAUUAAUUAAUAUACAUAUUUUUACCUUUUAUUAUUAUAUAUUUGCUAGUUAUUUUUAUUUCUUAUUUUUAAUUAAUUGUAUUAUUUUAUUGAAUAGGGAAUUAAUUGGAGAUUGUGGAUAAAAAGGGCAUGAAGAAGUUCAAAUUGAGAAGGAAUAAAGAUUAAAUUGGAAGACAAAAAUACAGUCAAGAAUUGAUAGAACCGAGUGGAAGAAAUCAAAGCAAUUAAUCCAAUUGAGAAAUGUUGAAUAGUUAAAAGAUUUAAUUUUUCCAAUUGGCAAUUAGAGUGCACGUGCAUGGCAUUGCAAAAGUGGAAAGCAAUUUAAAUGGGCCCACAAUUGACUUUCAAAAGUUAGAAUUAAUGGCUUUUAGUGGCAUUAAAUUGGAAAAGGAUUUCAAUUAGAAUUGAAAAAGGAUUUCUUUAUUCUUGUUGGAGAAGAAUUCGGUCAACUAGCAUUAUAAAAAGGGAGCUGCUGGAUGGAAACGGAAGAGGGCAGCGACAAUUCGGGCAAAGGAAAAUCAGCAGCCAUAAGGAGAAGAAAAAAAAUCAUUAGAUGGAAUUAAGUUAAAGCAAAGGCAGCUACUUGAAUUAAUCUCCAUGAUUGGUUUUGUCAAUUCUCUUAUUCCCAAUUCAAUUAUGUUAGGCUAAAUUUUUAUUUGGUUGAUGGUGAAUUCAAAACCCUAAACAUGCUAUGCAAUUAAAUUUAAAUUCUAUCAUUCAAUUUAUUUAAUUGAGAUUGUUUAUGUUCUUCUAUAAUUAAUGUUUAUGGUUUAUUCUUGUUUUAUUUGAGUGGCCAAUUAGAUAGGACUUGAAUAAAUUUUAUUGCUAGAUUAAAAUUCUUGAUCCGUAAUUUUCUUGAUAUUUUAAUCAUUAGUAGCAAGUUGGAAUCAGUGAUUUCAAUUGGAGAACAUAACCUAGGUUAAAUAAUCCGAGCUUGUGUGUUUAUUGCCUAGAUCAACCUAAUAUCUUUCUCUUUUUAAUGCUUCUAUUAUCUUAAAUUUAAAGAGCUUGUUUUAAAUUAUUUAAUGGUUAGAGAUUAUGUGAAGAGCUUAUUUUGCCUAACGACACACUAAGGAAAGAUUGAGACUAACAGAGCUUAUUGUUGUCUACGGUUGAUAGUUUUAAUAUAAAUUGAUGAUAGAAUUGAUAUAUUAUGUGCAUGUUUGGUGGUGACGAAUGAUCCUUUAACCAAAGUUUUCAUCAUUAUUAUUUCUUUCUCCUUUAAUUAGAGUUUUUAUUAAAUUCUUGUUCGUAGUUUUAAUUUCUUUACUUCUUACUAUUUAGUUAAAAAUUCAUAAACCCCAUUUUUUAUUUAUAAUUGGCAUUUUCUUUAGUUAGAUUAAUUUAUAUUAUUAUUACUAUUAUUAUUACUACUAUUAUUUUAUUUUAAAUCUUGCUUUAGAGUUGAUAAUAAAUAUAACUACAUAGUCUUUGUGGGAUCGAUCCUUACUCACUCUGUACUAAUUAUUUAUAUUAGUGGUAAGGUUUUAAAUUUGGUGCACCUUAACGACACUACCAGCCUCAUUAUAAGUUCUUGGCUCAUCACCAUCAUGUGAAGCAAUCAUAAACGCCUCCCCCUCAAUCUCAAAACGACGACGUGGGAUGGUUGUACGAUUACUUCUUCAAAUUGAGUUGUCAAGUGGAGUAAACUCAUUUUGUGGUUGACUCCCACUAGAAUCAGAAUUCCCAGACAUAUAUAAGUUUCUCUCAAUUUGUAAAUCAGAAGUGUCAUUAAUCUCUGAAUCAUUCAACUCAUAUAGAUGAACGUCUUUGUCGACCUCUGAAAUGCUAAGGAAUUCAUUUUCCAAAAAUGUGACAUCUCGUGAUUUUAUCUUAGUUAUAGUUCUAUCAUCAUGUUCACCUAUGAACACAUACCCUUUGGAGUGUUUUGGGUAUCUUAUAAAGAUACAUUUCUUUCCUCUCAGACCCAAUUUCCCAUGUUUCUGAGAUGGGUUAUGAACAUACGUUGCAGACCCCCAGGGAUGCAAAUGAGUAAGAUUAGGUUUUCUAUGUGUCCAUAGCUCAUAUGGAGUGGAACUUACUGACUUACUCAGAACUCGAUUAAGUACAUAAGUGGCAGUCAACAAUGCAUCCCCUCAGUAAGAAACUGGAACUAGCACGAGUAGAUUGUAACGAAUUGGAAUCGAUUGCUAGGAACUGGAACCUUCACGACCAAAUCUCCUUCACGAACGGAUCAUCACGAGUUAGGAACUGGAACCUUCAUGAGCAAAUCUCCUUCACGAACGGAUCGUCACGAGUUUAUGUCACUGACGAUCGGAGAAUAAUCACGUAUUUGGAAAAUCCCCUCAAUUCACGAAGCAAGAACCCACUGCCUUUUUCCCUUUUCUCUCACUCUCUUUUGAUGUUGAUCUGAUUCUUGUGAUUAUUAUUUUACAUGCUAUCACUCACCCAUAUACUGUUUAUAUAGUACAAUAAGUGUAGUUUUAUUCAAAUCAACUUCCUAGAGUUAUUUGACAAGUUACAUCUUAUGUGAUUAGGAUUAAGAUAAAAUACUAAUUUUAUCUCAUAAGAAUCCUAGACAAACUCUAAGUUUAUCUUAUCACUUACGUUAGAUUAAUCUGUCCCAUCAUGGGCGUUAAAUCUAACAGAGUCUAAAACCGGUUAGAGUGCGAGCCUCUCCCACUUCAGCCAACAUGUAGUGAACCCUCUUUUUUACUAGUAAUUUUCAGUUUGCUUCCCAAUCUUUCUUCUAGAACAAAGACAACUAGCUAGAAAACAAUACAUAAUAUCCUCACUGUUUCUAUCCCUUCUUUUUGCAGGGUUUCACUAAUUUGUCACGCUAAUGGCGCGGCUAUUUGCAUUUAAGCAGUUUGCUUACAGGAUUCUUGAGUAAAUCUACUAAAAGUUAUACAAAAGAUCAUAAAUAAACCGGAAUCUGCUGUGGGAGAGAUCAGAACAACCGAUACAACAAAGCAUAUUAAUCAUAUGCAUAUGGAAGGGAAAGAAUAAACUGGAGAUAGCCUUUGUUUUUUCACUAUCAAAAAAUUAUGCUAACUGAUACCACUAUUUCUAUCUCUCUCGCAGCACAAACAAAAUGAAAAUAACUCGCAAGGAGGGGAAUACUGUUUUUUGUAUCUAAGGCAGUAAAUAUUGCUGCUUAUAUUAGAGUAACGGCAAGAGCUCAAGAUUUUAUUAAUAUUAUUAUUAUUUUCAACACUUGUCAGUUAUAUAUUAUCAAAGAUUAGAAACUCGACUUACAACAGCAAGGGAAAAUGUUAGUAAAAUAGUGGAAUUUGAGCUAGAUUGCAGUACAGGCUGUGAUCUAAAUCUUAAAAGCCAACAUAGAAAUGGCUAUUAAGGACCAGAUUGGUUGACAUUUGAUGUGGCUUCUAAAAUAAUCGACUUCAGCUUUGCUGGAUACAUUAUUAUUUAUGAGAUAAUGAAUGUAACAUCAAACCACUUUUAAAAGAUUUUAUCAAUCACUUAAGAGAGUCUUUGGUGUAGUGGUUGGUUUGUUGUUUUGAUAAAGUUGAGGACAUGUUUAUGGUUUUAUGAGGACUCAAAAUAUUUUUUUUUUCCCAUAAAUGUGAAAAUAGUAGGAUUUGAUUUCCAAUUUGAAUUUCUCACAGCCAAAUUCACGGAUGAAAGUCGAACAUAAAAUCUCAUUUAACACCAUCUGUCAAUUUGGUUUGGGAUUGUUAUUUUCAAAAUGACUGACUAUAGGUGUCAAAUAAAUUUUAUUAUUGAAAUUAAUAACCUUGAUAGAUAUAAAUUAAAAAUAUAUAUGAAAAAAUUUUAUGUCAAUUUUUAAUUAUAGUUUCUCUAAGAACUAUUUUCAAAAAUGAAGAUACAAUAAAAUCUUUUUAUAGUAAUGAUUUAUUAGGAAUAAUUUUUGUUUAGUCAUCUUAAGAAAUCCGCUUCUACAUAGUAAUAAUAAUUUGUGCAUUACAAAAGUAUAUGUUAUGUUAGAUUAAAUGAACUUGCUUCCACAUAAUACAAUUACACAAUGAGAGAAAAUUAUUAAAGAGAAUGUAAACAUUUAGAGAUUUUUAAGAUGACUUUGCAUAUUUCUAACAAUGGUACAUAGAUAAUAGAUAUAUUGGAUUUGACAUGCUCCAUUAGUAAAUUAUUAAUACAGUGUAUAUUUUACCUCUAUAUCUUUGUAAUAAAGAUAACUAAGUUAAAAAAAAAAAAUUUUAAUUAUACCUCUAUUAAAUUAUAAUCCCCUCAUGAUAACAAAUUAAUAUGGUCUCAAUAUUACAAAUAUAGAGAGGUUUCGCUAUAAUAUUUUUUAAAUGUAAGGGGAAAAAAGAGUAAUAAUAAAAGUUGAGCUAGUUUGUUUUGAAAUAUAUAUAUAUAUAUGUUUUAAGAAAACAGCUUAAAACAAUAAAAAGGUGUUUCUCACCGCAAGAAAUAAGUUUUUUAGAAACAGCUAAACAGAAUGUUCUAUAAUUUUUGAAAAUCGAAAACAGAAACUGUGGUAACAUUUAUAUUAAAUAAAAUAGGUCAUUAUUCUUUCAAAAUCCAUAGUGAUCCUGCACACACCGUAAUGUAAGUUGAUACUUGAUCAUCAUCACUUUUCACCUUCACAUGAUCAAUUCUAGAAACCCUAAAAAAUAAAUACUUGUAAUUAUUAAACAAAACAACAAAAAGAACAAGAAGAAGAAACGAAAAAUGUAAAGAACAUACCUGGAUUUGCUUGGGGGCUACAGAAGUUAGCUUUUGCUGUGAUUGGGAAGGCGAGUGAAUGAAUGAUUGAUUGAUUGGUGAAAGCAAAAAGCAAAGCAAAAAGAUCGAAAUGGAAAUUGUGAGUUGAAAUGUUU
rnacentral:lncRNA from 1 species